rnacentral:lncRNA from 1 species
GUGAAUGGUUCACCGUUUUGUUAUUGCUGCACUAAAGACGGCGAACCAUUCACCGCCUUUAGUGCAAACAGCCCUCAGUCCAGGACUUAGCCAAAUUUUUUAGGGCUGUGGGGGGAUUUGCACUAAAGGCGGUGAAUGGUUCACCGCCUUUAGUGCAAACAGUAUCAGGUGAUAUAUUUUUUAGCUCGAUUUUAAAAUCAAUUUCAAUAAGUUUGAGACAAGUAUUUUCACGAUAACAAAUAUUCCAACAAGAAACACAACAUCACAAGUGGAAUAACAAGAUACAAUCAAUCGAAUAAAAAUAUCAAACAAAACACAGACAAAUAUACAAAUAUGAUCUAAAUAAAGUAUUAUAUAAUAUUAUACAAAGUAUGCUCUCUAAAUCAAAAAAUAUACAAUCAAUCUCUCGAUCUUCCUCUCCCUCGACGUCCUCGGCCACGUCCUCGGCCACGACCACGUCCACGUCUACGGCCACCCUGUACAUCGAGCUCUACAAUAGGUACGUCAUCAAGUGCUUCGAUACCGGCCAUCUGAUUGAGAUCCGCAAUGAUAAUGCCCUCGGGAUGCUCUGGAAUCGCCUGAGUCUCCUCUGGCUCAGGUCGAUCACCCUCGAUAGUGGCCGCUGUAGAUGUUAGGCGGGCCUGUGAUUAUGACGCGGCAUGAUGUCGAGAGUAGACAAAUCUAAAGUGCUCUCGAGAGACUGGCAGCGGAAGCGAGUCCAAGUCAAAUGGCAAGAAAGGAAAUCUUGAAGGGGCGGCGGGCAUAUCUGCAACAUAAGUAGAUGGAGAUCGUGACACUCGCAGGCUCGAUCUCGAGUAUGAUCCAGUAGAUGUCGGUGACUGUCUCCUGUGAUGACCCGAUGUCGAGGCAUGACCAAAAUUUUGACCUCCGAUAUCAGCGGCAACAAGUAUGGAAGGAAUGUACUCCAGUACUGACUCAAUAUGGGCAUACAUGCCCGUCAAUGUCUCCAGCAUCGCAUCGUAAGAAAGUCGACCACGAACUAGCUGUUCGAUGCUAUACUGAGACUGUCGUAAUGCGUCCACCUGCAUUAUCGAUAAAAACUCACUUUUGGCAAUCUAUAAUAUAUAUAUGAUUAAAAAAAUAAUUAGCAUAUGAGUGAUCGUACCAAAGCUCUUUCGGUCUGGCCCCGAGGCUGGUAAGUCAAUGGUGGAUGCUGUACUGGACGAGAAAUUCAUCUUCUCGUGAUCUGCCAAUACCACUCCAUAUAAAUAGAAGUCGCCUGUACCGGGUCAUCACCGACAAUCGGAUGCUGGUCAAUAAUGGCCUGUAAUUUCUGUCCCCAUCUCUCGAUGUGUGCUGCAUGAAAAUGGGUCCAAUCUUCAUCUGGCCGCCCCUGAGACUUGACGUGACGGAUGGUCUCCACUUGAAUGGGUAUAUGCUGAAGGAGACCAAACUGUCGUAGGACUCGAUCCGGCACGUGAAGCUCAACGAUAUUAAAAGAAAUCAGUGUCGUCCUCGAUCGCUAUACCUCACUGCCCUGUACACAGAAUGCCGGUAGCGCAUCUAUAAUAGCAUCUGUGUACGGCCGCCAUGUAAUCUGUGUAAAAGCCAAUAAUAGUCAGCUUAAUGCAUUAAUACCGUUGUAUAUUAAAAAAAAUGGUAGCAUUAAUACGUACCUGGGACUCUCUCUGCUGAUCUAACUCAUCUCGGUAGAAUUCAAUAUUCGUUGUUCUAACGUUUGUUCCAAAACGUAACCCGCCGGCGUUCGUCCACCUAAUAUUGGAAAAGUAUACGUGUUAGUUGCAAAUGUAUAUAUAGAAAUGUAAUACGUAUCAAAUUUAUAUAUCAUACCGGCAACCCAAAGGGCAAUCAGCCAUGUCGGCAAUAGCUCCAACGCUAGUAGGUCGGCCGACAUGAAGAUGGCCCCACGCCCAAAUCUAUAAAUAAAUGACAAUAAAUUAAACAAGUGAAUUUAAAAAGGAGAAGCUUUAUAUAACAAUUAUUAUAUAUUACUCAUAAUACUUGUACUAAUGUCGCGAAGCAACAGCAUUCGACCUUUACUUUUAAUGCAGCCGAUCCCAAUGCUCGAUAUAGAUAGGCCAGUGCUGCUGCACCCCAGGCUAAACCGCCACAGGCAUCAAAAUCCGCUAUAAGUGGCAGUCACUUAAGGUGAACUCUAUAUCCGGUGGGGUUUGGAAAUAAACUACAGCCAAUCUGAUAUAACAUAUAUGCACGUGUUGUGGCUGCAACUAAUCUAGCCGGGGCAUCCAAAUGUAUAUGAUGAAAGUGCUGGUAUAUCCAAUCUAAUCUAAUCUGCCCAGCUCGGAUGUCAUCCGGCACAACCCCUAAAAGUGCCUGACAUAUCUCUGGCCACGGAUACACUAUAGUCCCCGUGACAGGCGCUCCAGCGAUACGAAGACCAAAAAUAACCGCCACAUCCUGAAGUGUAAUCGUUAUCUCACCGUGGCGGAAGUGAAAUGUCUGGGUCUCCCGUCUCCAUCUCUCGACCAGAGCUCCUAAUAAAGACUGAUCCAGCUGCAGACGCCUAAGUCGAGAGAUAUAAUAGAAUCCAGACUGUUGUAGCAGAUCUAGCACAGCUGGAUGAUCAAGAUCCCACUGGUUUAAUUUGCGGCCAUGCUCUAUGAACUGAACCCCGCGAUAUCCCUACAGUGACAAAAAUUUAGUUAGAACAACAUUUAUAUGCAUUAAUACUUAAGAUAAUUUUUAGAGAAAUAAUUCUUGCUCUCACAUCAGUCGUGAUAAAUGAAGACCUAUGUAGAUGCUGCUCUGUCAGGAUGNAAACAUAGUAUAUAGAUUGUUGGCUUAUAGAUAUAUAAAAAAUGGGCUUUUACAAUUUAACGGUACUAUUAUUAUUUUUAAAUUUAUUUGUAUGACUAUCAUAUAUUCCUUCAUACUUUUUCUUCUAUUCCUUUACAUUCCGUACUAAUUCUCUGAUGGCACGACAAUUUGGAUGUCCAUAGGAAAAUGCAAUAAUAAUUGGCUUUUAAAAGAAAUCUAAUUUGAGUUAGGAAAGAUGAUAGAAUAGAUAAAUAUCUUUAUAUGAUUAGUUAAAUGUGAAUUUGAAGCUCUUUAGUUUUUCUUUCAUUAUUUAUUAUCUUUCAUAAUAUUUUAAAUAUUUUUUAUGUUUUUUAACGUUUUUAUUUGUUUGUUAAAUCUGUAGUCUGUAGAUAUUUAUUAAAGCAUUUCUAUAUACCCGCCGCAUCGCGCGGUCCCUACGCUAGUUAUAUAUAAUGAUUGUUGAACUAUCUGUUGAUUAAUACCAUAAAAUAAUAUAUGAUACAAUGUGUAGUAUAAAAUAUUUAAAUAAUUUAUUAUACUAUGAAAAUUUAUUUUUUAUGCACAUUUAGAGUUGGUUUAUGGUGCACCAGGCGCGUCCAACAUUUUUUUUGAACAUGUUGCAUGCUCCCAUUGGCUUCUCCCUUAAACAGUGACGUGGCUCAGUAUGGAGCCAUUUUUUUGAUGCGAUGGAAGUGCCAAAUUAUGUAUUCUAUAGAAGAUUACAGUUGUGGAGACUUGCACCUUGAUCAUGUGGCCAUAUUUGUUCCUAUUUGAUCUGGUAUUUGAAAUAGCUUAUUUACUCUAGAAAGCAAAAACUUUUAGAAACCAAGCGUUUGCCAAAUGAAAUAUCUGAAGCUUUUGCUUUGGUGGAAAGCUAAAUUUAGCUUUUAUAUUCCAAAAGCAAAACUAAGCUUUUCUUCAAUAGUUUUGUAGCAAGCUUCAACGGCAGGAAGGGGUGCUUUGGGGCUAGUCCAUGGUGAUCUUGUGGCAAAAGGGGAAGGUCUGACGAGAAAGAAAAAAAAAUAAUUAGAAAGUAACCGAAAGAAAAGAUUUUAAUUAGAAAAAGUAACCAAAAGAAAGUAGCAAGAGCAAGGGAUUAAUUCAUGGGCUUUAGAUGCAAGUUACAUGGGUUCUAGAAACACGCAUCCUAAACCCUUCUUUAAUCCCCCUUUAUCUAUUCAAUUUAUGAUUAGUGGCGAUUUUUUUUUUUCCUUGCACUUCUUUGUGUCUGACGGUUCUGUACGAAUCACCAUUCCCACCUGCAGUUCCCUUGCCACCAUCAAAGUUUUGGAUGCCAUUGUUGAAUCCAUAGGCAAAGUGGAAAACCUUGAAAAAGUUCUUGCGGCCAUGUUUCAAUGGUGGCCCCUGACUAGCCUAUUGGUGCAGUUCGGCAAUCUGAACAGGCCCUUCAUAUUCUGUCAUUCAUUUUUGCUGCUUACUUGUUUGGAAUAACUGGACUAUGUAGUUGCUGAGAGAUCUAAGCCGAUUUGAAUGUAAACAUUCUUCUAAACAUGGAAGGAUCCAACUCGCUUAAAUUUUUCUAAGCUUUUCACGAAAUUAUGUAACACUGGUUGUGGCUUCCAUUUUAGGUUUCAACUCGACUCUUCGUCAAGGUAGUGUUACACAUCAUGAAUACCUGCAAGUUGGUAAGGGAAGAGAUGUUGGCCUAAACCAGAUCUCAUUAUUCGAAGCAAAGAUAGCAGAUGGAAAUGGUGAGCAAACCCUGAGUCGCGACAUAUACAGGCUUGGUCACCGUUUUGACUUCUUUAGGAUGCUGUCAUGCUACUUUACCACUGUGGGUUUUUAUUUUAGUACCCUGGUAUGCAGAUUUAUACAAAGUCUCUCAAUCCUUCAUGGGAAUCAGUCUACAAAGUUGCUAGGGGUAAAUCUUAUGCUUUUAACUUGCAGGUGACAGUUCUCACUGUCUAUGUUUUCCUCUAUGGGCGCCUUUAUCUUGUCCUAAGUGGACUAGAAGAAGGCCUUGCAACUGGUAGAAGGUUUAUUCAUAACCAGUCCCUUCAGGUUGCUCUGGCUUCCCAGUCCUUUGUGCAACUUGGCUUUCUGAUGGCCCUCCCAAUGAUGAUGGAAAUUGGCCUAGAAAAAGGGUUCCGCAAAGCCCUAAGUGAAUUCAUACUGAUGCAGCUACAACUAUCAUCCGUAUUCUUCACAUUUUCUCUUGGAACUAAAACCCACUACUAUGGAAGAACCCUACUUCAUGGAGGUGCUGAAUACAGACCCACGGGUCGUGGAUUCGUGGUCUUCCAUGCUAAGUUUGCAGACAACUACAGGCUUUACUCUCGAAGUCAUUUCAUAAAGGGCAUUGAACUAAUGAUUCUGCUAGUUGUCUACCAAAUCUUUGGCCAGUCAUAUAGGUCGACGAUUUCGUACAUUUUCAUCACAAUAUCUAUGUGGUUUAUGGUAGGGGCAUGGCUUUUUGCGCCUUUUCUAUUUAAUCCCUCAGGAUUCGAGUGGCAAAAGAUUGUUGAUGACUGGACUGAUUGGAACAAGUGGAUCACCAACCGUGGCGGGAUUGGUGUGCCUCCAGAAAAAAGCUGGGAGUCAUGGUGGGAGAAGGAGCAUGAACAUCUGAAGUACUCUGGAACACGCGGAAUUUUGGCUGAGAUUGUGUUAUCGCUGCGCUUCUUUAUUUACCAAUAUGGCCUUGUCUAUCACUUAAGCAUAACCAAAAAGACCAAAAGUGUCUUGGUAAUUUUUUUUAUCCGUUAACUUUUCCUUCAGUUAAGCAUUGUGCAAAAUGGAUACCGUCAUCAUUGUUUAUUUCUUUUUCAGGUUUAUGGUAUCUCAUGGCUUGUAAUUUUGGUGGUACUGCUGGUUAUGAAGGUGAGUGGGGUUUUCUUUGUUCAGUUAAAAAAAGAUACUAUAAUCAGGAAGCUCUAGCUGAUUACUUGGAUUUAUUGAUCCUUAUCAUUCACUUUUGCAACUCAUACUUAAUGUUGUUUCUAGUGAACUGAUCUUCUCAUGUGCCUUCCAGUCCUCUCUGGGUUGCGUGUUUAUGAACAAAUGCAGUUUGGUGUUCAUUGGAUUUUUUUUUUUUAAUAUUUAUUAUGUUUUCUAAUUCUCUUUCAAUCUUCUUCUCUCUUAGACUGUGUCUGUCGGGAGGCGGAGAUUCAGCGCAAACUUCCAGCUAGUUUUUCGACUGAUCAAGUUUUUGAUAUUUGUAACAUUUGUUACCAUCUUGAUCACUCUAAUCGCCCUUCCUCACAUGACAGUGCAAGAUAUUCUCGUGUGCUUCCUAGCUUUCUUGCCUACUGGAUGGGGAUUGCUUCUGGUCAGUUUCUUAAGCUUGUUUUUAGUUGCUGCUCACCAUACAUUGAAUGCCAGUUUGACCUAGUUUCACUACUCCAAGAAUAUAAGCUUUCAAAAACCAGCUAACAAAUAAUCUCGAGCUUUUAUUGCAGUGGGAAGUUAAAAUGAGCUUUCGAACCCAAAAUCUGAGACUCCGGUUAGGAGUUUCUGUUUCUGCUGCAGUGAAUAAAAGCUGUAAGAGAGAUUUUGAAAGUAAAAAUAAAAAAAUAAAAAUAACUGCUUCUUCGGAUAACUGUGCACAAAAAAGAUUCUACAAAAGCUCCACCUGCGCCAAAAAGGCCUUCGCCUAGUUAUUCUCUUAUACUGUUCUUAUGUGUUCUUCAGAUAGCUCAGGCUUGUAAGCCUCUAGUUCGACGGGCCGGGCUAUGGGAAUCGUCGGUACGCGCCCUAGCACGUGGCUACGAGAUCAUGAUGGGUUUGCUUCUCUUCACCCCCAUCGCCUUUCUAGCUUGGUUCCCAUUUGUUUCCGAGUUUCAAACUCGCAUGCUGUUUAACCAAGCCUUUAGCAGAGGCCUGCAAAUUUCUCGUAUCCUCGGUGGGCAGAAGAAAGACCGCCCAUCUCGCGCCAAGGAUUGAUCUGGUAUAUUUAUAAGGUGCAUUUCUCCUUUCAAUUCCAGGAUCGUCGGAUUUUGAACCCCCUUUUUUUAUGUAGUACAAUUGUAUAUCUCUUGUAAUUAUAAGAAUGGACUAAAGCUGUUACAAUUCGGACUAAUAUUAUUUCUUCAGGAAAGUUACAUAUGAAAGUAUGUAAAGUAUCUUUUCCGUCACUGCCUAUAAUUUUUUUUUUUUUUUUUUUGGAGAGAGAAAGAUGGUAUGCUAUCCGCUUCGUUUAUUUUUUUUUUAAAAUAAAUUUAGUUGAAAAUAUAAAUCAAGUAGUAUUCAAACUUGGUAUCUUGAAUAUCAACUAUCAAAUUUUUUGCCACUUGCGUUGGGAACAAGUCACUGUCUAUAAAUACUUCUCAAACUCAAACUUGUUUUUCCACAAUCACUGCAAAUUACUCGCACCAACUUACAAAUUCUCUGCAGCUUAUUUGAAUACUAAUGACUAUCAAUAAGCCCGCAAUCUUCUUUCAUGACCGGCCUUUUUGGCUAAAAAAUAUAAAUCCUUCCUUCAGUAUUAUUACCUGGGGAUUGUGCAAAUAUUUCAAAAUAUCCUAAUAAGACCGACCGUCCCUAGAGCAAGUGGUAAAGGACUUGCUGGUUGGUACCCGAGACCUAAGUUCGAAUCCUAGUUGAUUCACAUUUCUAGCUAAGUUUAUUUCUAAAUGAAAUAAACGAAGCGAGUAGCGUGCUACCUAUCUCUCAAAAAAAAAAAAAUCCUAAUAAGUGUAUUACAGAGACGANAAGUUCGAAUCCUAGUUGAUUCACAUUUCUAGCUAAGUUUAUUUCUAAAUGAAAUAAACGAAGCGAGUAGCGUGCUACCUAUCUCUCAAAAAAAAAAAAAUCCUAAUAAGUGUAUUACAGAGACGAAAUUAAUUACUCUAUGAUAAUAGAAAGAAAUAAUAAAAAAAUUUAAUUUAAAAAUCAGAAAAGGCCUGAAACUAGCUAGGUACGGAUUUCUUUCUGAAAAUUUUAAUUUUUUAAGAUAUAAUUGAUCCAAAAUAAGCAAGAGAUAGUUUAGUUUGACAAAUUAAACAAAAAAAUCUAAUAAAAAAUACAGCUAAAAAUUUUUGUUGAACACUUUGAUAAAAUUAUUUCAAAAAAUUUAUUUUCUAUCUAAACUCAAUCAAAUAUCAAAUACUAUUAUUAAUUUUUAACUAAAAUUAAUAAAUUAGGCCAAACUUAAGCUGGUUGGAGGGAUAUCCCGGAAAAGACAGGAUAUCCCUCUUUAUCCUCCCAAACACAAUGCAAAAUGGAACAACAAAGUUGUUCCGGGUUUAAUGGGUUGUUCUAGGAACAACCUAUUAAGCUUGUUUCGCCGAACUGAAGAACAAGCUUGGUAACAACAAUUGUUUUGCUCUUUUUUUUUUCUUUUCUUUUUUUUUAUUAUGCUUUUCUUUUUUAUACUUUAUUUUAAUAAUUUCAUGAAUUAAAUGAAUGCUCAAAUUUAAUAAAUUAAAUAUAUUAAUAUAAAUAGAUUUUUUAUGUAAUAUAUUUAUACUUAAAUUUUAUAUAUAAUAUAAUUAAUUAAAUUUGAUAUAUUUUUUAUUUAAGUUUUAUCAUUUAUAUAUUAAUAUUUAAUAUUUUAUUUUAUAUUACGUAUUAUAUACAUAAAUCAAUUUUUCAUAUAUUAUGUAUAUUUUUUAUUUGUAUUGAAAUUUAUACUAAUUAUUAAUUAAAAUUAUAGGGAUACUGUGUUUAUACUUUAUUUAUUAAUUAUAUUUAUGAAUAAAUUAUAUAAAUAAAUUAUUAAUAAAUAAUAAUUAUUAUAUAUAAUAAAAUAAAAUAUAACUAUUUUAAAUUAGAUUCUUACAUAAAAUAUUUAUAUUAUAAAUUACUAUAUGAAAUAGUUAUAAAUAUUUAUAUAACAUAAUACUAAAUAAAUUAGUUAUUUUAUUUUAAAAUAUGUAUUUAGACAUUGUUUUAGACUUUUUAUCCCAAACGCCUAUUUAAGGAUAUCUUCUAGAAUAUUUUAUUAAUAACCAAACAUAAAUUUAUAAUUGUCUAUCUUGUACGAAAUAUCGCCUAUGUUAUCGAAAAUAAUAAAAAUUAUUUUUCAAAAUUUAGUUCUCCAUCUAAAUACAGCCUUAAAUGAUUCUCGCUUACGUUUAAUUUUUCACCGGGGCUAAUCAAAUAUUUUCUAUCAUCGACCAACAGCUGAUCAGCCAAUAUAUAUAUCUUGGCACCUCACCCUUCAAAUUCGAAUGGUGGCGCUCCGAUCGACUGAUUGUAUAUCCAACUGGUUCCUUACCACAAGUAGUGCUCGACGUUGCGGUACAAUCCGAGUACGAGGUUUUACUAAAACCGGGUCGCUCCUCUCCUCACGCGGUGACGCACCAUACUAAAACCGCUUGCGGUGACGCACAUACCUUAUUCAAAUUCCAACGGCUUCAUUUUACCGUUGUGUCAUACCCCUCCAUACGGCGCCGGGUCCGACACCAGAAAAUUCCUCGGAUUCACGAUCUGUAAAUAGACCCGAGUCGCCAAAUCGUCCCUCCGUUCCACCCCGUCCCUGUUCUAAACUUCUUACUCUUCCGAAUGCGAAGCACGAAGCGGAGGCGGAUCGGAGGAAACCCCGCGGCGCGCUCGGGUCGACGCGUCUUUUUCGGUGAUUUCGUGUGUUCUUCUGUCUUUUCCGUGGAAGGGCCCCAGUUCGUUGUGGCUUUGUAGAGAUUGCUUUAAAUCCUUUUUUUUUUUUUUGGCUUUUGUGGUUCGCGGUAAGAUAGCUCGCGAAUCGGUGUUAUGGUACCGUUGGCUUUUGCGGGAUUCGAUUUAUGGAUUGGUGACGUUAGCUUAGUCGGUUCUCGAGGGUGGUGUUCUUUCGAGAUGUCGCCGGGCGGAGGCGAAUUGCGGAUAUACGGCUGGGUGCGCGCCGGCGCUUCGUGGAGGAGCGGGUGGGCGCCGCGCCACGGCCGCUUCACCUGGUUCACCGGAAUCGGGGGGAUCGUUCAUGCGUGCUUUUGGCGAACAAACGAGCAAAGAGGAGAUUCUCAUAGGCGCGAUGAGAUACAAGACGUGAUCCAGAUACAAGAAUCCGUAGAUCCUCUCCUGAUGUCCUGUUUUUUGCUUCCUCCUCACAUCGUAGUCCCUAUAUGCCAUAGCGGCACCAUGUUGUUCAAGAUAGUCACGAAAGGUUUCAGAUGCAUGUUCUUGAUCUUAUGUUCUACAUGUUCAGUGUCGUUUCUUGCAAUGUAGUGAACGUUGCUAGAUACUAGUGAAUUCCUCCAUGUAAGCAGUCCUGUGGCAAAAUUCUUGAUUUUUUGAUAAAGUGCCUUAUUAUUGCUAUUCAUAUGCAGUAUGAGCAUGCAUAAUUCUCUUGCGGCCAAAAUUAUUUGGAUCCUAAUAGGUGUAAGGCGGAGGUGUCCUGUGUUACAAUCAGACAGGUCUAAGCUCUGGUAUACAGGGUAUUGGUUCUUUUUUCUUUUCUUUCAGAUUCUCUCUUCUCUCUCUCUUCUCUCUCACCUCUCUCUCUCUCUUCAUAGGAUGUUAUAUAAUGAUUCUAAAGAACGAGCGUGCAGAACAUUUUAGAUUUAAUAUCUGCUUCUUUUGCAGCUCUAAAAGACUAUCAGCUGUUUAACUUCUGAGGAGGUUCUUUCUGUUAUUUAAGAUUAUUUUUAAUAAUUAAUUUCACUGUUUGUGAACAAUGGUUUUCAGACAAUAAACUUGCGAAAAGCGAAGGGUGGAUUAUAGAUCGUCAGCCAGAUAUUGCUCGCCUGCAAGAAUUUAUCAAACGUUAUAGAGACAAAAUAAAGAUCGAUGAGUUUGACGAUGAAGGAUGAGAUGAAGUUGACGGAAUCUGCGUGUUCAAGGUAAUCUUGACGGUACGUAGGUGUUUCUUUUAUUCUUGCAGCUUUUGCUUGAUAUUCUGGCCUACUUCAUCAUUUGUCUUGUAACAAAACACCACAUUAACUGCAAUCAAAAACAAAUGUUUUGCAUGCAUAGCAAAUGAUGUUGGAAUUCUGAUCAUGUGUAACCUAAAUUCAAGUUGAAUAUCUCAUCAUUAAGGCAUUUACCGUGUGAAAAUUUUAAAUGGUCUUUCGAUUACACUAAUCAUUCCAAGUUUGAUGUACUUCUUUGCUCAUUUAUAUCACAUGUUAUCAGUUUACGUAGACUGCAGUUUGUUUGAGAAUAAUGUCUGACAAAAAAAGAAAACCCUUCAGUAGUCUACUGCUAAAUAUAUUGGAAUUAAAUAUGAAGUUGCCUGACUCGUAGAUUAUCUAUGUGACAACUGUGACAUCUGCCAAUACUAUAUUAUAUGUAUUAUUUGUGACUAUAGGAUUAUGGCUGUGUUUGCUUGCCUGUAUUUAUCCUACAAAACGACAUAAACUUUGGUCUGCAAUGCUGGUCACUUCCGUUCUUCUAUUGAUUUCUUUUGAGGCCUAUAUUUUAAGUCAAGGUUUUUGUCACAAUUUGCAAUUGCUCAAGAUCUGCGUGUUUCUGCCUCAUCUGGUACUUGUACUAAUGCAACAGGUCUGGCAUGUUCAAUGCCUGUAUAUAAGUGUUUAAGUAUAUGUUUUGGUUGGUCCUUCUGGAAUUGUGAUUCUCUGAAUUUACAGCCUUAGGUUUGAAAAUUUUAGCUCCCGAUUCGCCUCCAUGUAUGCUAUCAGUAUUCUAAUCCGUUGAUUUAGAGAUUUACGUUCCAUAUUAAAGUACUUUUUCUCUUCCCAUUUUAAUGAAAAGAAGGUCUAAUAUCCUUGCUAGGAUGCUAAAUGUAUUGCUUUUGCUGAACAAUCUUAAUAAUAUGAUUAUAUUGAAAAUGUGUAGGUACUCACUUAAUUUUAUCAACUUUUGUAAUCUCCUUUUUGGAAUGCAUUAAUUAGGACAUGGAGUUCUCCAUUUGCGUUAUCUUGGUGUUCCUUUCCAUGUUUCAUUGACUAUAGGGUUUAUGUUACAUGCUUUAACUUUAUUGUUAGUUGUACAUGAGUAUUAUGUUUUUCUUUAAAAACAGGUUGAGAACGCUACAAACUAGAAAAAGAGGAGGAAGAUACUGCAACUCUGAAAGUACUAGGUCUGUCGUAGAGGAGCUAACUAGAGAAAUGCCCCUUGAUGUCAUGCAGAAAAGUUUGCUAUCUUGGUGAGUUAAUGUUCAUUCCUGAUUUAUGAGAAUCUUUUAAUUCAGGCUACACUGUGCACAAUUAAAUACCGUUUUCUUUAGAGAAAAGAAAUAAUAAAUUCAAAAAAACAUAAAAAGAAAUGUCUUUUUUUAUCCUUUUGUAUAUAGUAAAUAUAUGCUGCAAUGAGAGCUAGUUGCUUCCACAGGAAAAAUAAAGUAGGUUGGAGUCUUUGAUGGCAUCCGCUUCGCCGUAGACCAUAAAAUGUUAAUGGCCUUAUAUUUCACUUUGUUAUCUUCGGUGGUAUUUACUUAAUAAAUAAAGUCUGUACUUUUUUAUGCAUAAUUUCAGAUGAAAGAGCCUUAUGGAAAAGGAUGCUGCAAUGGACACAAGAAUGUAGUGUUUAUACAUUAUUCCAUUGGGAUUCACCGUUCUAUUAACAAAUGCCCAUCGCUUCGUUUCAGAGACAGUAGUGAUUACUUUUGGUUUUUAACAUAUUUUUUAAGAUAAUUCUUAUGUAAUUUAUUAUUCAAUCAAUGUUAGGUCAGGACGGCCGGUUUCAGUUUGCAGUACUAUAGGGGGCUUCCGUAAAGCUGAAUGCCUAGUAAUUUUCCUAUUCCUGUUUGCGAGGAAUUGCUGAUUGCUGAUUUUUGCAAUUAUGUAUUCGUGGUUCAGGUUUGCCAUUUCAAUGUUGUGAUGCUUAUGAUAAUGCUGCAGUUUGUUGUUGAAAAGUUAACGAUAUGCGUCAUAAGUUAGUAUCAGUUGAUUGACUUGUUAAUCGUAGUGAGAUAGAUGUUCUUAUAUAUUUUUAUUUGAAUAUGGUGCUGAUAGUAGUUGCUUUCAUUUCAAAGUCAGACGGUUGCUGCCUGAUCUGCAAUUUUCUUGAAAUUUUUUUCGUUUACUGCCUUUUUCAAGUUGGAAUGUUUAAUUAGUAGCCUAAGCUCGUCAUUUACAUUUGCCUGAGAAUACUUUCUUUAUCUGAAAUUUUCCGGCAUAGCUGUAGGCUAGUUUUAAUCACUGGCACAUGGACAAGUCUAGUGAGACUUUAAGAAAAAAAAAAGACCAGGACUUUUUGGGGUUGGUUUGGCAGCGUGGUAGGUGUCUGUGGUGUUAUUUGAUGAAGCUGCCUGAAGUAGCUGACUGUCAGAGAAGUAGAUUAUCAUCCCUUGCUAGUCUUUUAUUGCUGGCAGACUCGAGAAACAACUAAUUUGGAAUCUUUUUCCUUUUGAGUCUCGGAUCUUCAUUUCUUGUCCUUUCUCUGUGCAUCAAACACUUAUUGCUCUGUGUAAAGUAGGGUGUUCUAGUUGCUGCUGAUACGAUGCAUAUUAUGGCCUUGCUACUUUUGUUUGGUCCCACUAGUAAAGUGAUGGCUUUCUACAUGCUCUGCUCUUACCUACUGUAUCAUUUAUUUGCCAAUCUCUUGCAAAGUUAUUUGUUUUUCUUGAUGAUGCCUGGAAAUGCUGCGUGUAUCCUCUCAAAAUCUGCUUCAUCUUCUAUAUAUAUCAGCAACUCCUUUUUUUUUCGUUUUAUAUCUUGUUGUAUGGCUUCUCAAUUAUCUGCAAUCUCUUUACAAUUCGUUCCCCUGUGUUGCCCCUCUCUCUUCCUCUCCUUUCUCUAUCUCUUUGCGCUUUCCCACCUCUUCCCCCUCUCUUUGAUGGGUGGUUUUUCGUUUUUUUGUCCAGAAUUGCAACAUCCCCCCCUCUAUUUUUUUAUUGGCUACAAUAUUUUGGGCUCUUCAGCUCCUUGGCCUUAGCCUUUUUGCCUUCUAAAUGUUUACCUUCUCUUUGGUGUUUAAUCUGAACUUUUUCGUUUGACACCUUACUCUUAUGACCGUACUAUGGAAUCUUAUUGCGAUUUCAGGCGUGUUGCUAAUAUUUUAUGAUGGUGAAUUUAUGGGAGGCGUAACUAAUCUUGCUUUUAGUGCUAAUUUAUAGAACUGUUAUUGUUUUUGAAGAAAGCCUUUUCUUUCGGCGCAACUUCAUAUCUGGUUUGAUUAUAAAUGUAUCAUUGAAAGUAGAUUUUAUUUUUCUUGGACUCUUCUUUGAAAAAUGAAUUGCCUUUCGUCUUCUAGCUUUUUGUACCAGUGCAAAGUAGAAACUUCUCGUUAUAGAGAGGUGCAGUUCAUUUGUUUUUCACAAAAUGGGUGGGAGAAAUGCCUUAAAAGAAUUCAGCAACUUAAAGUUGAAAGAUUAUCUCAGUAUUGUAGCCUAAAUUAUUUUGCCUGAAAACAGUAGAUGUAUAUUGUGUAUGUGAUAUGAUAUUCUAAAGUUUAUGUUAAGUUCAGUGCCUAGAUGAAAUUUACUUAUCUGUGACGAAUUCAUUUUGUUGUAAACUAGGAUUUUUGUCAUUGAACAUUUAAGAACAUUUCAUAGUUGUUACGUUUUGGCAUAUUAUGGAUUUCAGGGAAUUUCGAACAUUUUUGUUUUCAAUCAAAGUAUUAAACAUUAGCGUUAUACUCAUUGCAGUAGAAUUUUCGAAGUUGCGUGAUUGUGCUUGUAUUAAUAAUAGCGAAUCCUUACCAAAAUCUUACAUUUAUUUUCUUUCAGUUUUAUGGGCAGAAAGUAAUGUUGGUAACCAAAGCUGAACUGUAGUUCACCUUCUUGCAUAUGAACGAGUCGUCGAUUGGCAAAGUUCUAGGGAUUGCGGAUAAUGUAACCUCAUAUUGUUUCUGCUACUUACUACAAAGAAGACACAAUUUCGUUGUUUAUUUUGUCUCUUUUCGGUAAUACUUGGAUCAAAUGUUUGCAAGAGUAAAUUUCAACUAUCAAUAUUUCUGUGCUUGAACCACGAUAUAUCUACUUUUACUUCUUAUUUUGUACUUAUGCACUGAGUGACAUUAUCCUUAUGUGUAUGCCUCCAUGCCAAGUAGAGAAGUCUUUUCUUAAUGCCCCUCAUUUGGUGAGUAUAGAUAUGAUAAUUAAUUUCAUCCAUACAUUUGCAUUCUCAAAUUUGAAAAGUGCCGCAUUUACCCUCUUUUUUUUUUUUUCUUCUGUACGUGAGCAUUAUUUUUGUUUCAGUAGACAUAAUUUGCUAGCUACCUUUUUACUUUAUCUUUCAUCAUUGAAAAAGAUAUUCUUCCUCAUUUUUCAUUUGGAGUUUGUGAUGAACAUGUUUUCUCAGGGAUGGUCAUGAAUAUUGAAUUAUAGGUAAGCUGCCAAUUAGACGACACCAAUGUUGGUAACUUACAAAUAGAAUUUGAUUAUGGUUGGCGAAUAAUAUGUCAUCAAGGAAACGAGUUAUGACGAUACGUUUGAAUUGUACCAUUAAUCUUCAUAUGCUGAGUAAAUCACAUGGGAACACGCCUCUGUAAUCCUGCCUAAGAAAUGGCAGGUUGUUGAUUAAGGUGCGUAUGGUCUUGGUUGGAAUUUGACCGUAUUAUUAACACAAUAGUUAUGUCACUUCUGUUGGUGGUGCACUCCAAUGAAUCUGAAAACUGUAGAUGUCAGCCUUUCACGGUGGUGUUAAAGAAAAAUUAGAAAUUAUAUUGUGGGUUUAUGAACUUUUGACUUUUCAAGAUUGAAGAUUGGUUUGAAAAGGUAGUAGGCAGUAUAUUAUGUAUUACCGCGUAACCGGGACACUUUCGUCUGCAAAGAGGCCAAAUAUGAGCAAUUGGUGCAUCAGGUAACUUUCUAUCAGCGCGAUUCGGGUGAUAAGGCUCAAACAUAUUCUAAUAUCUUGUGAGGAAAUGUUAAUUUUCUUAAGAUAUGAAGACAUUAUUGUUAGGAUAUGGAGAAGAUAAGAGAGUCAUUCAAACAGGUUGGAAUACUUAUCACUUAUCAUGAGUAUUUAUAUCUGAUUCUCCUUCGAAUUCUUGGACAUAUCCAUUUGAUAACAUCUUUAAGUUAAAUUUAUCUUGAAAUGAACCUUUAGAUUUACCAGGACCAAGGGUAGUCUGUUUCCUCAAUUGCCUUGAGAUAUUACGAUGUGUCAUUUGAACGCUCAUUAUUACCGACGCGAGUGUGGUAGGCCACGGCCGUUUAACAAUCCAUGUUGCAAUGAAUAAUUUGACUUGCUAUUCAGGCAUUUGCGGCUGUUCAAGACUUGAUGCCUUAAAGGAUAUCGUGAUGGUUUAUAUAUCUUAUGAGGGGGUCAAGCAUUCCAAAUACAUACUGUUAUUGGCAUUUGAGCAAAUGACAAUAUAUUAUGUGUUUGCUUUGGCAUUUGCGCUAGAGAGUUGGCGAUGCCUUCUUACUACUUAGCUGCUUAUGUCUUUGCGCAAAUCUGAGAAACAAUCUGCGAAGUUAUUUUUUUUUUUUCUAUCAUUUUUUGGCGCCCACCCUGAUUUUUUUGCUUGUUUGAUUAAUUGAAAUUACUUCAAAUUGAAAUAGCGGUUUUUUUUUGUGAGUGUGGUUAAGAUAAUUUCCUUUCAGUCCUUUCAUAAUAUGGUGGAUUUUCAAACAUGCUUCAAUUAUGGGCUUUUUUCUUGUCGUUUUUGGCAGGGGGGAAAAACAUUGAUUGAGGGUCGCCUGUGCAUAUUGUAUUCUCAAGUCGCUUGCACUUAAUAAAGUGGUGCAACUAUUUGCCGUGUCGCCCGGUGUUGGAAUAAGAGUAUAUAUUUUUUUCAUAGAUCAAGCUGCAUGUGCAGGUUAAUAUUUUCUUAGAAUGCUUUGUGUUUUCUCUAGUAUAUUUGCAUUGCUCCCUGGCCAGCACGGGUUAUGAGCGAAAGAAAAGAAAUUGUUGACUUCUCGUAUGGGGGAGGCUGCCAAUGUUCGAUUUUCUUCCUGAGGGCUUUUAUGUUAUCAAUAUUUAUCAUGCUAAGUAAUUUUAAUAUAUAUGUUCUACGUAUCAUUCUUCAAUUUUUUUUUAAUGUGCUGUAAAAUUUUGUUCGACGAUGAUAUUAUUCUUCUUAUCAUAUACUACUUUAAUUACAUUUUUAGUUGCUGUAGUUGGUAAUUUGUUCCUCACCUGAUAUCGGUCUGAUUUCUUGAUAUCACAAUUUUGAUUUCUGGUUCAAAAUAGUUAUGUGUUGCACUGGUACAAUGAUAGGAUACACAGUUAGAUGGCCAAUUCAUGGAGGAGUUGAUGGCCUGAUGCUGAAUUGACUUGUUUGAUAUUAUCUAAAUUAAAAAGGCUUACAUAUGUAGACAUAAUUCUUUAACGGUAACAGACAAGUGAUAUAAUAUACCCUCUUUUGGUAUGAUAAUGUAAGUAAUACUGAAUGUCCUCAUGCUUGCAUUUAAAGUGAAGAUGAAUCUGUCGUUAUAAUUUAACAUGCAUUAUUCUUUUCUAUUCAGAUGGCAAGAGAGAUGGAGGAGAUUUUGCGUCAGCAAACUGCACAACCGGCUAGUAGUUGUGUUUCUGAAAAUGGCGUUUCAUUUCUUGACCAAGUUAUUUCUCCUUUAUAUGAAGUCAUAGCAGCUGUAAGCUCUUUUCCUGUAGUUCUUACAUCAUGUAAUUUCUUGUAACUUGCAAGGGUUAUGAUUUAGUCUUGUGAUUCCUCUCUCAACAAAUAAUAUUGGUUUCUGUGUCGGCCUGGAAAUGAUACUAUAGGGAGCAUGAGAUGGGAUAUUUGCAUCAUGUGUUGUUGUUUGGUAUUUUUUUUUUCUUUUUUUGAUAAAUUUGAUUCAUUAUAUCAUGCUUUGGCAAUCUAGAUGAGCAAUUUUGAAUUAAUUCUUGGUGCUUCGUCUUCUUGGCAUACUGCUUAGUGCUUUACUAGUGAAAUACCCGCGCGAUGCUGCGGAUAUAAAACUAUUUUUAUAAUAAAUUUUAGUUUUUUAAUAUUUUUAUAUAGUUUAUAAAUCUAAUUAUUAAUUAAAUAAAAUUUAUAUAAAAAUAAUUUAAUAGUUACAUCUAUUUAAAUAAAAGUCAUUAAAAUUGGUAUAUGCCCAAAGUUAAUUUAUAAAACAAUUUAUUUUAUAAAAAAUUAUAUGAAAAGGAUUUGAGAUAAAACUAUCAAAAUAAUUUUUAAAAAAUCAAUAAAUAGAUGGAAAAUAAAAUUGUAGAAGUAUUGUUUAAUAAAAUUAAUUAUACACAUACAUACACUAUAUUUAUAAAAUUUUACUCCUCAAACUUAAAUUUCAUAUUUUUUUUAUAUAAUGAAAUUUUACGUGAUUUAAAUUUCAUCUAUCAAAUUAGAUAUUAUUAUGCAAUUUAUUAUGUGCAUUAUUAAUAAAAUUAAUUAAUUAUAUUAUAUAUAACUAAUUAUUAAUAUAAUUAAUUAAUUAAUUAAUUAAUUUCAUAGCGUUUAGAGAUUUAAAAUUUUAAACUUUGAAGCUUAAAAUUUAGAAAUAAAUAUUAUAAGUAAAAAUUAAUAUUUAAAAUUUAAAUAUAAAAUAUAAAAUUAGAAAUUUAAAACUUUAGAAUAUGAAAGUAUCAAAAUUUUAAAUUUUGAUAUAAAAAAUUUAAAAGUAUAUAUAUUUAUUUAUAUUUAUAUAUUAUUAUAUAUAUAGAGGGAGAGAGAAAGGGGGUUUGGGGGGACACGUGUCACCCUAUGGAGAAAGGGGGUUUGGGGGGACACGUGUCACCCUAUGGUUCCCCAAAAGCCGGUUGGGUCGGAAGAUAUCCGGUUUCAUUCGGAUUCGAAUUCGGGUUCGGGUAAAAUUUAGGAUAUCCGUACCCAUUAACGUCCCAAUUCUCCGCUCCCUCACUGGCGGCACAGCUCCUCGUCACCUCGUCCCCUCAUACCCUCGUCUUCCUCCCUCCCCUUCCCCUUCCCCAUCCCGAUCCCCAUCCCCAAACUCUUCAUUCCUCCUCGCUCCCGAUGUGGCGUCGCCGCCUCUUCGGCCCCGUCACCACCGCCGCUCUUCAUUCCUCCUCGCUCCCGAUGUGGCGUCGCCGCCUCUUAGGCACCGUCACCACCGCCGCGUCACCUCGUCGAACCUUUAGUCUUCUGGCCUGCGCUUGCCGCACCGCACCUCGCUCCGGCCUUCCCGCGUUCACGGUUCCCGGGCGCCUGCUCCUCCGCCCAGCAGUUGCUAUGGGGCAGUCUGGUGAUUGCGGCUCGAGAUCAGGCCCAAAUUCUUCUUCGCCUUGGCCAGGACAUGAAGUGUCCCGCUCCAUGGAACCGGGAGAUCGGUGCACAGGCUGCGGGUUAACUCGUUUCACGGAAUAUGGGCCUGGCCAUAGAUAGCAUAAGGGCUUCCGGAGUGUAAGAAUUUCCUUGAUGUUGAUUGCCACAUCAGUGCUGUUCCAGAAAACCGAUGCUGACGGCUGCGAUGGUCAUGAUCGCAUGAGUUCGAAGGACGGCGCUGGCCGUGGAGGGCUUUUGAUGCGGCCGAGGAUAGAGUGACGCAUUGAUGCAGUCCUCACCUCACACAGAAACGUGCGGACAGGGGUUGGAACGCUUGAAAUGAUAAUAUAUUGCAAGCUCCAGCUGAAAACAAGUCCCCCGGAGAAUUUAUAUCAACGGGAACCCGCCUGCGCGAUUUUAGUUCUGCAUCGGAGUGAUGAAACUUUGGGAGACAUCGAACCGGUGCUCCUCGCGUGAUGGGUCUUCGUUUAUCACAGAAGUCCUUCUCUCGAGAAUGAGCAUUUCGCUAUGUCGAUAAUUUAAGUCUAUAAUAAACAUGAAGUUCAAAUUCUUAACACAAAAGAUAUAAUAGGAAACUCAUUGGACAGGGCAUUUUUAUUGAUAGGCUUACUAUCAGCAAUGCUCGUAAGUUUGUGGACCAUCUUGAAAAACUGGUUGGAGCUUGCAAUGCCUAGAGACAGCAGCUAGCAAUCUGUGAACAAUAACAUCUGCCAGAAAAAACAGCCACAUUAGCGUCUAAUAUCUAUGACUACCUUUAUUGCUAUUCUCCUGUUUUUAAAUAGGGAUGAAAAUAUGAAUUAAAUCAUUUUAAUCCAUGGAUACUCUCAUCAGGUAGUUUCAAUAAUUGUGGUAGCAUGAAAGCCCGCUAAUGAAGUGGUUUGUAUUUGCAUCAUCAUGGAUAAAUUGGCUAACAUAUAAACUAAUGCUUUUUGCAUCUCAAAAUAAUCAUUAGUAAAUUAUGGUAAUCCUUUUGAAGCCAUAUUAGGUGAGAUAACAAAGAAUAGGUUGAUUGAAUCACAAGGAGUAUUGCAAAAUAUGUUGUGUUGCCUCUCCGAAAUUAGCCAUUCUAAAGACUAAAGAGGAGAAUUCUCACUCUGUUAAGUAGCAAUAACUAACCUGCAUAUCUGCACGAAUAGAGGAGUAAAAUGAGACCGGCCACAGCUCCUCGUCACCUCGUCCACUCAUACCCUCGUUUGCCUUCCUCCCUUCCUUCCAUUCCCCAUCCCCAAACUCUUCAUUCCUCCUCGCUCCCGAUGUGGCGUCGCCGCCUCUUCGGCCCCGUCACCACCGCCGCUCUUCAUUCCUCCUCGCUCCCGAUGUGGCGUCGCCGCCUCUUAGGCACCGCCGCGGCGGCCUUGGAUGGGGAAUACGAGGGACUCCUUUCCAUUCUCGAGGAGAAGAGGACUGUCUUUAUAAACGGACCCAUCACGGAGGACACCGCGUUCGAUGUGCUGCUCAAGUUCAUCAGUCUCGCGAGAACUAAUAAUGCGCAGCGGGUUCAUCUGUUGAUAAAUUCUCCGGGGGGACUUGUUUCAGCUGGACUUGCAAUAUAUGAUAUCAUUCAAAGCGUUCCAACCCCUGUCGCCACGUUAUGUGUGGGUGAGGCUGCAUCAAUGGCGUCACUCAUCCUCGCCGCAGGCGCUCCCGGCCAGCGCCGUGCCUUGCCGAACUCUCGGAUCAUGAUCCAUCAGCCGUCAGGCGGUUUUCUGGGACAGGCGACUGAUGUGGCAAUUCACAAUCAAGAAAUUCUUAGACUCCGGAAGCGCCUUUAUGCUAUCUAUGCCAGGCACACCCGGCAGCCUGUGCACCGGAUCUCCCGCUUCAUGGAGCGGGACACAUUCAUGUCUCCUGCAGAGGCGAAGAAAUUUGGGCUGAUCGACGAAAUCAUCCAGAGCUGCCCCAUAGCAACUGCUGGCGGAGGAGGCGGCGGCGGCGGGAAGCCUGAGACGGAGGAAGGAGGUGGCGGUGGCGGCAAGCGCGAGGCAGAAGACUAAAGGUUCGAUAGUUUCUUAAUUCAUAAAUACAUUUAGAUCAAUUGCUUUUUAAUACAAUCUAGAUAGAUGCAUGAAGAGAAUGACAUACUUUUUAAUACAAUUUAGACAGAUGUAUGAAGAGAAUGAGAAUAUAUUUUGGAAUAAUUAGGUUGUUACUGGUCUUCUGAUUUUCAGCUAUGGUUGGUUUAUUCAUCUUUGCUCCUGAAAUUGGGAGCACAGAGGAAUAACCUAAUAGUUAACUAUUAGUUGAUGAUUUAAUAGGUUACCUUUUCCUGAAGUAUAUAAGCGUGUGGAGCUCAACCGAUGCUUGGCUUGCCAUUUGGGCAUUUCGGUGUCGAUAAUUUAAGUCUAUAAUAAACAUGAAGUUCAAAUUCUUAACACACAAAAGAUAUAAUAGGAAACUCAUUGGACAGGGCAUUUNAUCAAAUGAAACCUAAAGCAACGUAGAAUAAAAUCGUCCCUAGAACGUUCAGAUGUCUAGAUUGCCUUCAAUGGUGUCAAUCAUCAAUUCGGAUAUUCUAUCAUCAAAAGGUAUUUGAUAGUAGCAGAGCCCAAAUACUCUUACUCCUUGUACUAUCCCAAUAUUGCAACUUAAUCCUAGCCAUCUCACUUGGAAACUUUAGUCCCUGAAAAUCUCACAUGUUUUGAAUUUUCGCUGUCGAAGGCACAUUAAACCCCACCUAAAUUAGCAAAAGAGAGUGAGUUAUCUUAUAGAAGAAGGGAUAAAAGAUCAUCUUGUAAGAUAACUUAGAUCUUUUUUGACAGUCAAGGACUUAGAGAGUGAGUAAUAACUGCAUGUUUCUGUUUGAGUCCACAUUAAACAAAGUCCAGUGAUUUUCUUUUCUUUUUUUUCUGUUUGAUUACCACAUUGGACAAAGUUCUUCCAAUUUUUUUGCAGGGAUGUAUCAAAUUAGAGAGGCAAAUCAAAUGACUGAGGAAUUUAUGCUGGCUGCCAAUGUUGCUGUUGCAGAAAAGAUCUUGAAACAUUUUCCAUUGGUCUCCUUACUAAGGUGAACCGAGAACAUCCUUCUGGCUAUAGAUUCUUGAUGUCAGAUUAGGGAAAAAUCAUUGUGGACUUUUCCCCUCCAAAUAUUGAUGCCAACUACAGAGUAUGACUAGAUAGUUAAGAAUUAGGAAGAUCAAGAGGGUUAUUACGAAUUGAUGAUGUUCAGCUGCCAAUUACCUGCCUCUAGAUGAAGGCGACUUAAAAAAAAGAAAUCUUAUGCUAGAGGUUGUUUUGCCAAUUCACUAGUUAAAAUAUGAAGCACAAUUCUCUAUCCGGUUAAGGGUUUGUACAAAAUAUAGGAUCUGCAUGAUUGCAAUGAUAUAUUUGAGAUUUUGCGAUGAAAUUUCAAAUCAUCAGACCCGCAUUUAGUCAAUACUUUCUGCACCCACUUUCAUGGUUUUCAACUAUUGAACCUAUGUUGCAUUUUGAUGAUGAUUAGGCGGCAUCCCAGCCCCACCAAAGAGAUGCUUGAACCAUUAUUACGUACUGCAACUGCUGUCAGCCUGGAUUUGGAUGUAUCAUCUUCUAAAGCAUUAGCUGAUUCACUUGAUCGAGCAGUGGUAUGUAUACAUUUUAUCCACUAGUUUGCAAUAAUAUUUUUAGCUUGGCUGUUUUCUUACUAAUUAUUAGGUAAUAGGAUAUGUUGUGCAUUAACUGCAAUUUUUUGCAAGCAAUGGCAUUUAGUUUACAGAAUUUACUCUAAACUAGUGAUUAAUUGCUAAAAAUGUGCAGAGUGAUGAUCCGUAUUUCAAUAAGCUGAUCAGGAUUCUGGCAACUAGAUGCAUGACCCAGGUAAAUCUAUUUAGACACUUGGUUGCUAAAUUUUUGGAUUUUGAGUACAGAGUUUUCAACGUUUGACCUAAUAAUUGAAAAAUCACAGGCAGUAUACUUCUGCAGUGGAGAUUUAAGCCCUUCUGAAUUUUACCAUUAUGGGCUUGCAGCACCUCUCUAUACUCAUUUUACUUCUCCUAUUCGCAGAUAUGCAGGUUAGUUAUUGCUACUUUAACAGAGUGAGAAUCUCUCCUCUUAGUCUUUAUGAAUGGCUAAUUUCGGAGAGGCAACACAACAGAUUUUGCAAUACUCCUUUGUGAUUGCAAUCAACCUAUUCUUUUUGUUAUCUCACCUAAUAUGGCUUCAAAAGGAUUACCNUUGGAAGAACUUUGUCCAAUGUGGUAAUCAAACAGAAAAAAAAGAAAAGAAAAUCACUGGACUUUGUUUAAUGUGGACUCAAACAGAAACAUGCAGUUAUUACUCACUCUCUAAGUCCUUGACUGUCAAAAAAGAUCUAAGUUAUCUUACAAGAUGAUCUUUUAUCCCUUCUUCUAUAAGAUAACUCACUCUCUUUUGCUAAUUUAGGUGGGGUUUAAUGUGCCUUCGACAGCGAAAAUUCAAAACAUGUGAGAUUUUCAGGGACUAAAGUUUCCAAGUGAGAUGGCUAGGAUUAAGUUGCAAUAUUGGGAUAGUACAAGGAGUAAGAGUAUUUGGGCUCUGCUACUAUCAAAUAUCUUUUGAUGAUAGAAUAUCCGAAUUGAUGAUUGACACCAUUGAAGGCAAUCUAGACAUCUGAACGUUCUAGGGACGAUUUUAUUCUACGUUGCUUUAGGUUUCAUUUGAUUGCUAAAAAUUGUCCAGCUUUGUUUGAAUUUAAUAGUUUCUGUUAAAAGAAUUAUAGAGAAUUUCACCAAAUAACAAAAUAGUCUAUUAGGCAACAGGUUGCUUUGCCAAAUUAGUUAUAAAUACCGAUAGAACAUGUAUAAACCAUGUACAAAUUGUAAGUUUAGAUAAUAAAUUUAUCAAACAUUGUGAAGUUCGCGUAUCUGUUUUGUUAGUGCUACACAGUUUGGGGGUGGUUCUUUUUCUUUUUUUUUUUGAUGUUAUCUAUUGUUUGAUUGAUUGAUGGAAAUGCAUGCACCCGGGAGCUCCAACGUCGAACUCGGUCUCUUCGCCCGAGUGAUUGUUGGCGUAGGCAGCGAGAUCACCACAUCUUUUUCGUCCAGAUAGCUAAAUCUUAUUGUCCAACCCUCAAAUCCCCAAUUCUCACUAAAUUUGCACCUCUCACUAAAUUUGCACCUAACUUGCGUGAGUUUUUAGAUUUUCUUUGAUAAUUUAGUGCUUAAUUUAGGGUGGUUAUCAUUUUUGCAAUAAUUAGAGUGGUUUUUAUGCNNNNNNNNNNNNNNNNNNNNNNNNNNNNNNNNNNNNNNNNNNNNNNNNNNNNNNNNNNNNNNNNNNNNNNNNNNNNNNNNNNNNNNNNNNNNNNNNNNNNAGAGAUAAAAAUAAAAAGUUGAACUUUGUAGGGAUAUAUUUGCUAUUCAAUAUGUUUUCAGGGAGCUGUAUGUAGUUGCCGUUUGCACAAAUGAGGAAAGUUAGAAGGAGAGCUUGCUAAACUAUGAAAUUUUAAUUCAGAGAGCUAUGUAAAAGAACAAAAUAGAUAGAAAUAGGAGAAGAGGAAAUUGAAUUCAUGUUGUGCAUGAGACUCGUGAGAUAAUAGCAAUCAGUACUCAGAAAGCGACCAUUCAGAAAAUUGGAAGUAGCUUGGAUUUUUUUUUUUUUUUUUGAGAGACAGGUAGCACGCUACCCAUUUCGUUUAUUUUAUUUAGAAAUAAACUUAGCUAGAAAUGUGAAUCAACUAAGAUUCGAACUUGGGUCUCGGAUACCAACCACCAAGCCCUUUGCCACUUGCUCUAGGGACGGUCGGUGAGUAGCUUGGAUUAUUAAUGUUUAAAGUAUAAGACUUGGCUCUUAAUAACAAAACAAUGGAGGUAAGAGUAUAGGACUUGGGUCUUAAUAAGAAAACAAUGGUGCGAAAGGACUUCAGAAGCUGAAUUGUAAUUUUUGUAAUUGAAAAAUUAAAAAGAAAACAGCAUAAUAUUACAUGGUUGUAUGUGGGUGUUGAUGAGGACUGAUCUGCACUGAUAAAGCUUGCAAAUUAGUUGGGAACCCUGGUUGGAUGAUAGAGAGACCUGCCCUUUUUCACUAUAAAAGGAGCUUGGACACAUUUUUAUCUUCUUGUAUUUUAUUUUCCCAUCUGGUCCAAAAGCAGGAGCACUUUAAACAGCUAUUUAAAGGCAUGCAUUCAGAUCCCAAGUUCUCACCAACUUUCAACUCGUUAACUCCUCCAAUUGGCAUGGAGUAUUUCCGGCAAGAGCAUCUCCAUGGGUCUUGAAAGCAGAAACUGGCUUUUUCACUUUUGUAUUUUUGUUUUUGAAAUACUAUCCUCGCCACUAAACUAAUCAGUUCAUCGUGGCAGUUUGCUUCGGCGAACACUCUGGAGCUUUGCCCGAUACAUGACGGACCGGCAAGUCACAACUCUGGCAAUGGUGAACUCCUAUUGAUUCACACUCUCUCACUUUUACUUUUCCAGCUGUUCUGUGGAGAAAGGAAUAAAUUAACACCGCUUUCAGUAGUCCUAGACCUUUUAUUUGGACUGGCUUCAGGAGAGAUCAAAGGGUCUCAAUUUGUGUAGCAGCAAUAUAAGUUCCCUACGUGUGUUUGCAUAAAUGGUUUGGCAAAAAGCAUACAAAUCGUUUUUGCUGAAGGCAAUCUCCUCUUUCAGCCAUGUUACAAGUUGUAAACACUUGGAUAUUCUCUAGCUCAUUAGCACAAAUGACACCUUCAAUAGCUCAAGUACCAACCAAUUAGGAUGGAACCUAAAGUGUUUAGGCAAAUUUCUGGGUAGGAAUCUACAAAAGAACAGACUAAUCACUUCUCGGAGCAAAAGAGGAGUCAAAUAUUACACUUCUUAGAAGAGAAGAAUAUAGGAGCUUGUUCUAUGAAUCAGGUACGCCUAGCAAGCACCAGUGGUUGCAGUCUUGGGACUUCUCAGCCGCAAUCUGCUCUUGUACUGUGCUAUUUUUCAUUCUAUGUAUCGAAGGGUGCCCAUCCUUCCUAUAAUCUGAGCCUGCUGAUAUUGAGGUAUAUUACUGGGGUUUUCAUCUGUUUUAGAAUUUGCUCCAACGAUCUCAUCUUUGAAGGGUAAUGAACUAGGCACAAUUGGUUGAAGAUUAAUUGGCUCGGUUUCCUUAUGGCAUUGUCCUCCCGAGUUCCAUCGCCCGCCCCUGCAACCAAAGAAGAAGUUUCAGUUCCCAUGACACAAAGCAAUUUGAUGGAAGGUUAACUUGCUAUUUGCUUUUAGUAGUCCCAUAGCUCAAAGCUGCUACCAAUCCCAGAAGAUGCUCUGCCUUUUUACUGGGACAGAGCCUGACUCCAGGUGUCCACUAUUUAGUCUGAACUGAAUUACCAAACUGAACUGAGUCGCUUCAGUUGACUCAUAAUGGCCGCCGGAUAAACAGAAUAAAACUAAACUGAUGGAAUAUAUCAAGAACAUAAUACAAUAUAUUUGUAAUAUGAUGAUCAGACAAUUUUGAUGCUUAACCACAAAUAGAAAUGAAUGAAUGACAUUAUGAAUAAUAAUAUAUGAUCAACAAGUAUAUAAAUUUCUACUAUAUACAAAUAAAUACAUUCAUACUUAUGCCUCUAUUCAUGCGAUAAUGAAAUUCAUACAUGCAAGUUAUGUCAUUUCUACUUACUAUUUCAUUAUCCUAAUCACGUGUCAUCCGACUUCAAGCAUGAGUCAAUUGGUAGCGGAUACACCGCUUUCAUCUUGGCAUUAGGUGGCGAAAUUGUCGCCCACCCGCCGCCAUAAGUCCAUAGCUAGUGAAGUCGCCUCUUUAUAUUGGCAUUAGAUGGCAUGUGCCCCACACCCCCGACCAUAGAAUUAUAGAUAGCAACUUCAUUUCUCUUACCUUCACCUCGGCAUUAGGUGGUAUUCCGCACACUCUCGAUCGUAGGUUCAUAGGUAGCAAGUCACACCUUGGCAUUAGGUGGCAUCCCGCACACCCCCGGCCAUAGGUUUCAGGAUUCCGGAAUGAUCACCUCUUGUAUGGUCUCAAUGGUCCGUUAUUUUCACCCUACAUUAUUAACCUUCUUAGGUUUCAUAUCCGUGUGAUUACACUAUCAUUAUGUUUUUUAACCUAUAUUCAAUGACACUAUGUUCUUGAAUGUUUAUAUGUUGAGUUCUCUAGUAUCCCUAGAGAAUGUCAACCUAUUUUCUUAGUCCACAAUAUGGGUAUAUAGAACAACACAUGCAUUUUACUCAUACCUUGGUAGUUAUUCAUUCUAUAUAAUAUAUGUCUCAUACAUGUAUAUUUACUAGUUAAACUAUUAUUUAACAUGCAUAAACUUAAAUUUGGUUUAUUAUUAUCUAGACAUGAAAGUGACCCAAUUACUUCGGUGAAACACAACCUACCUCGAUUCGUUCAUAAUUGCUUGUAGACAUUUGCAAUUAGGUUCCCGUAGGCUACUUGCUCUCCUCUGUUCAAUUAAUUGACGGUUAGUGGUUGCCUUCUCCACCGCAGCCUUGUAUUGGUUCCUGUUGGUGUCAGGACCUCUCCCUGAUGUUGCUGAACCAUUCACCUUGUAGUUGCCUUGGGAGUUGGUAACCCCUUGCAUUCGGAGUAUCUGUUUACUCUUUCUUAUCAUCGCAGCCAUGGUCUGCUCCUGUAGUUUCGCUUGUUCGAAGGCUUGAGCCAAUGUUCUAGGCUGUAACAUUUUAACCGCUGAUUUGAUUUCGUCUUUUAACCCGCUUAGGAAGCUAGAAAGAAAAUACUCCGGAGAGAACUGAGACUUGGUGGUAAGUAAUCUAGCUCGCAAGUCCUCGAAUUGCUCUUGAUAUUCUUCUACUGUCCCAGUUUGCACCAGCUUGUUAAACUCUUCUACUACAUCUACCAACCCUCUUACAUCAAAUCGCCUGCACACCUCCUCGGCAAGUUCGGCCCAACUGAUAACCUCCUUCUCAGCUAGAUACCCUUGAAACCAAGUGUCGGCCUUAGCUUCCAAGUGAAGAGCAACCAAUUCAAUUUUUUGAUUCUCCUUGAUACCAUAUAUAUCAAAGUACCUCUCACACCUUCUCACCCAACUUCUCGGAUUCUCCCCCACGAAGGUUGGGAAUUCCAAUUUAGGCAGUGAGAAUUGAAACCCGGAUCUACUUUGUGUGAAAUUUGUAUGAUUAUCCUCUUUUGUAUGAAAAGUAGGUGGGGUAGGAAGUAUACCUCGCUCUUCGUGACUCAGAGAUGAUGAAGCUCCUUUAGUAGCUGCAGAUUGUGGCGCAUUCAUCAAUAGUUCUAUUAUUUGCUCCAGUUUCCUUGUAGUGUUUGCUGACUCCCUAUAAAGUGCAUCAUAGUGGGAUUGCCCUUCGGUACGUAUAGCUUCCAUUCGACUACUGAGAUUAUCGAACUUCUUCUCAUUUUCUACAGUUAGUUCCUGGAGUUGUUGCUCCAGGGCGUGAACGUGUUCAUCAAGUACCUUCAAUCGGGUUCCUUCGGCCAUUGUUUUGCUAAUAAAUUUGAACCGGUUACCUUUUGCAGACCCAAUUUUGCUCAAUCUCUGGAGGCACCAGGUGGGAACUUCGAACAGAUGGCGGGCGUUUAAUUUCCCUGCCAAUUCUGUGAGUUCAAGAACCGGGGAAGGUUCUUACAGCGGUCCCCUUUGUCCAGGAUCACCCAGAGGCCGUCGAUGUCGGAUUCAACAGUUUGUAAAACCGGAGUCCCUGCGACUGCGCUGCACCGAUCCCUGGGAUCUAAACCGCUCUGUACCAGAUUGUAACAAUCCUGACGUUAAGCAACCACAGUGAAUUGUAGGAUGGCUUUAGGAGUGAUGGAUGGAUACCUGAUCCUGCUCCUUGUCCGGUGAAGUUCCUUCGACUGAGGAUGAGGAAGGGAAAUGAUGGGAAUUCGAUCUGAAUUCUGUAUCCAAGAGCCGGUAAUUCCAGGGAAGGAUGAACAGAGAUCAGAUGAGCAGAGAGAGAAGGGAAUAGAGGGAAUAGAGGAGAUAGAGGAGGUAGAAGAGAAGAGAGGGGAAGAGAACAGGAAUGGGGGAGAAACUGGGAUUUUUUUAUAUUUCAGCUUAACCUAUUACAGGCGUGAGGAGAUGGAUACUUAUACCGCUCUAUUGUGGGCACUAAAAUGUAAGAAUUACAAUGGUGGGUAUCUAAUGUAUUAAUACUAAGUGGACUAUUGUGGGCCUAAUCCUGGCUUUAUGCUGAGUCCUCGCCUGGUUCAUCUUCAGUUCGCCUCUCUCUCAGUUUCCGGAGUCGGGUCGACGACGCAACAGUGAGGAGGCGCCGACCCGCUACCUGAAAGCUGAUCCAAGACGCGGAGUCGGGCUCGGUGAUGCUACAGAGAGAGAGCGCGGACCCACUGCCCGAAAACCAUUCUUCUUUAGAUUACGCCGCCGCUGUUCUUCCUCACCUUGGAUCCUGCCGUCUCACCCCUGCGGCCCUGCUUCCGACCUCUUCCCUUCCGGCCGCUCGCCGAACGCCAUCGGAAGCGCUCCUCUUCAGAAAUCGAAGAUCGACGAUCGGGUUCUUCACUCUUCAGAAAUCGAAACCCUCCUCGUCGCCUCUUCCUCUUCCGCUUCCGCUCCCGCUUCCGCUUCCGCUAUCCAACGAUAGAUCAGUAAUCGGGUGGUUCUUUACAAACCAGCUACGAUUUGAGUUUUCAUUCUUCAAAGCAAAAGUUGCAAGCUUUUAGUCCAUCUGAUGGAUACUUUUUUAUACACAAAUGGCUCGAGUGCUUUAAUUGAAUGUGUCCAUUCUCUGUUAUGCACAAAGAAGACCCAAACAUAGAGCUAAAUAAUCUUCAUUAACUUAGGGACCAGGAACUCUUGUAUUAUACCUAAUCAAUUUCAUGAUCUUGUCGACACUUGCAAAAGGAAAAUUUUGUUGUGGUCUUUCAUGGACCAUUGACUCAGUGGGGUUUCUACACUUUAUGUAUCUUUUAUUUGUUUACUGUUUAGAAUUUAGAUAUGCUAGUAUGCACUGUGCAAAGUGCUAGUUUCAUCUUGUAUUUAGUUUCUAACUAUGCUUGUACGUGAACCUUUUAUAUUUUACAUUUAAAUAGACUAUCUUGAUCUCUUAUUUGCUUAAUUAUUUAUUAUAUUUGAGGUAUAAUAUAGUUUACUAUUUUUUACUUAAUUAGUUUAAUUUUGUAUCUUUAUUCUUAUAUUCUUAAAAAUAUAAGUAUUUAUGCUAAUAGACAUAAAUCUUGAGAGAAAAAAAACUUAAUUUAAUAUAUCGAAUUUUUGAUCCUGAAUUUUUAAUUGGUGAACGUAUAAUAUCCGUAUAAAUCAUGUAUCCGAAUAAUUGGCGAAUUCGUUUUUUAGCCCUUUUUUUCAACGAAUUUAAAAAUUAGAAGGCGAGUUUUAUCCGAAUUAUAUCCGUACCGAAUUUUUGCCGAAUCCGAAUUAACUAACUAUGCCCCAAAUACUGCCAGCUCCGACGAUGCCCUAGCCCGUGGCCCCGCCGGAGUUCCACCCGCACAGCUCUCUCACCGAUCACUCCGCUCUCGCCGGAUCGCUCCGCCAAGCUCGCCCUUCUUCAACUUCUGCUGCAGCCGCUAUCUCGCUCUACUGUGUAAAGUUGACAUUUUUUUUUUUUUUUUGCUUACUCCCUCUGUUAACUACUACUUCUACCAUUUAUUCUUCAGGGUUGUUACACCCACCUCCUCUCUCUCUCUCUCUCUCUCUCUCUCUCUCAAGGUGUAGUAGUGACGACAUGCUCACGUCACUCCCCCACUCCUCCGCCGCCGUUCUUCCUCAGCGGAGCCGUUUACUCGUGGCGCAAAGGGCGGCGAGGCGCCCCAUCUCCGUUACCAACGCCGUUGCCGACGAAACCCUAGACAAGGCUUCGGUGGCGACAGGGGCGCCACCCACCCUCUCCUUCCCCAUUUUGGUGCGAACCUGCUAAGCCUCACCUAUUUUGUCUUUUCUUUUUUAUAUAAAUAUAUAUAUUUAGCAAUCCCUAAUUUUCCAGCUCGAUUCAUGAUGGAUGCAAUGGGAGCCUUUUCUUUUGAUGAUUAGUUGGUAAAGUUUGAUUUUUGGGUCGGUGUAGAGGAAUGGGGCUUUCUGAUGUGAGUUUAGGGUUUAGGGUUUAAGGGGCCAAAAUGUGGAUGGGAGAACCCAUGAUUGAAAUGUCACAUACACUGUGAUUAAAUGUUGAGAUCAAUAAAAAGGGCUAAAGUUGACAACUUUAAAACAAGCUUUCCCUACUUAGUAGUUUGUUUAUUUUUUCUAUAGCAUUCUGCAAAUUCCUAUUUUGAUUCGCGUAGGUGCUGUAGGAGCCUUUUUUUUGGUAGUAAUUGUCAUGAAAUUUGUUCUCUUGGCUUAGGAACCGGUGUUGGCGAUUCCAGACUUCUGGCCUGAGGUUAGGGUUUAGGGUUUAGGGGCUUUUUUUUGGAGGGCAAAAUGUAGAUGAGAGAACCCAUGGUUGAAAACGCAUUCUGAGAUGUGUAAAAAGGAGUUAAGUUGAUUACUUUUGAGGGGUUUAUUACUUUAAAAAAGGUUUAAGCAUGUAUAAGUAUUGAGGGACACGAAGGAACUUUUGUGUGAUACUUUUGAUUUUUUUUAAGAAAAUCCAAUUAUCACAAUUUUUUCCCUUAGUUUCCUUGUGUGGCUGUACACUUAUCUUUACUUCAUCUGUAGAUUGUGCAAUAUUUUUGUUAAGAAAAUUAAGUCAAUGCUAUGAGGAGUAUUUGAUAGCAUUAUGGUCUAGAAUAAUGUGAAGACAAUCUUUUAUAGGCAUCAACUAUGCUGUUCGCUUUCAUUCUUGUUCAUGUGGUUGAACUUUAAUGCGAUUGCUCUUUAAAUGACUUCCUGAUUUGGUUUAGUCUGAGAUGGAUUUAACGUAGAAAUCUAAACAAUUUUAUCUAUCGACAACUAUUUCUGUUAGCUAAACAAUUUAAUCUAUCGACAAAUAUUUCUGUCGAUUUAUUGGUUUGAAUUGGUUUUUGAAAGUUCAAACUAAAAGCUAACAGAUUCUACCAGUUUGAAAUAUCUUUUAACUGAGAUAAAACUGACUACUAGAGAAAAGUGAUUAAACCGGGCCAAAAAAAAAAGACUUGCUUUGGUUUACUGAUUCGGCCUCUUUUUUUUUGGCCCAGCCCCUUGUUCAAAUAUAUUCUUGAUCUAAAGAUACUCUCAGAAAGAGUCGAACUACAGGUAAGUAACGUGAAAAACUAUUCAUUGAGUUUCAAGUAGAUGCUGUAUCUUGUUAUGCUGUGCUGAAUCAGUUAAUUCUCUAUUUCUUUACCUAUGGAACCAUAUAUUGCAGAUGAUUAACUGGUGGCAUGAGAUGUUCCAUGCUCCGUAAUUGCACUCAGAUUCUUCAUAAAUUUACCUUGUGAACUUGUUAGAACUUUCGAUUACUUUAUGAUGAACUUCAUGCAAGGGAAUCAAAUAUGUACUGAGCGUCAAGAAGUGUUCAGAUCAUUGAGAUUCCUCAUACAUUCUCAGUAGGCCUUAAAAUAUUAGUUCUGUUCAUUUAGUUUAUUGAUUCCCAUAUCAGAUAGGUUGCAAUUUUAAUCAGGUCUUUUUGAGUAAAACUAUAUUAUUGGUUUUUAUUGUUGGCUUUAGGUGGUUUAGAUGUCAAGUAUAAUGUGGUUAAAAAGUUUCGAAAAUCAUUAUGGAUAUCUUUUGAAAGUUGAUUUAUAGAUAUAUUAGAAUUUCAAUUUUUCUUGAUGUAUUAGAGGCCAUAUUGCAUUAAUUAGAAAUAAGCUAUCUGUCACAUUCAACUGAAAUGACGAGCUGUUGUUGUAUUAGAUACUCAAAUUAUUAAGUCAAAAAACUGGGGAGAUAGCAGUGUACCUGAAGUAUAAAAUAGUUAAAAUGAAUAUCUCCAAGCUGUAGCAUCUAUAUUGAGUGAAAGCUUUCAUUUCCUGUCCUUGACUAUCACAUUUGGUUCCUAGAUGUUUUUGACCUUGUUAUUUCGCUUUCUUUAAUAAAUAAAUUUGCAACUUGAUUUGAAGUAUCAUGCAGAAUAAUUUUUUUCCUCAGAUUUGCUUUGAAGAUGUGUUUCGGUGUAAAACCAUAAGUUUGAUUUUCCGUGAAUGUGGUCUCAUCAAAUUUGUAAUGUAAUACCUAGUAUUGUUUAUAACUUUUUGGCAUGGCUGAAGAAAGCUAGAUAUAGAAAUCUAUAAACAUUUCCUGAGGUAUAGUGCAUUUUAAAAUGGAUACCUGAACAUUAAAAAUUUUGAUUUCAUUAUUUUUCGUUAUGGUAUAUUUGAUGUAACUAUCUCGAUGCUAGAAAUUAAUAGGGUUUGUAAGUUUUUGAACACAAAUACUCUUUGACCCCACAGACUAUUUCUUUUUGAUUGAAUUAACUUUUCUGGGAGAGAUCAUCAAGUUCCGACAAAACUUGAUGCAAUUUCUAUAGUCAUAUUUAAAAACAUGUUAUAGAUCACGUUAUGUCUGUACUUUUUUUUUAUCAAAACUAGGUUUUUUUUGGAACAUACUCUGCUUCAUGCUGAUAUCGUCUAAGUGAAAUUUAUCUUUAUUAGGUGAAUGGCUGUACUGGAAAAAUGGGAAAAGCUGUUGCUGAAGCAGCAGUUUCUGCUGGCAUUCAGUUAGUUCCUGUAACAUUCAGCAGCAAAGAGAAUCCUAGUAGAACGCUACAAGUUGGCAGUAUGGAUAUGCACGUACAUGGCCCAUCAGAAAGAGAAUAUAUUCUCUCUUCUGUCCUUGAUGAAUUCCCGAAUCUUGUACUUGUUGACUAUACUGUACCAGAUGCUGUGAAUGGUAAAAUAUUGCUACUUGUCUUCUUCCUUUUUUUUCUGCAUUUAUUCCUUUGUUGUAUAUUCACAUUAUGUAUGGAAUAGUCCAUAUAUACUCCAAGAAGAACUGUUUUCACAUUCGCAUCCUAGUUAUCUCCUUAAACAGAAACGAACUGCCCGGAGGAUUAUAUGGUUGACUUCUGCAUGGAGGGAAGUAUUGGGAUUUUCAUUUACUUUUUUAAGCGCUAUAUUCAAAAAAGAACUUGUAGGUUACAUUUGUAAAAUUCCUUUACUAUUGAUGGCAGUGUUGGUGCCUAAUUUUUUCUAUACAUUCACAGUCCACUUUUACCAAUAACCCGAACACCAGUAUCAAGGUAUUUGAAAAGUAUGGAACUCAAUCUUGAUUUAUUUUUCGGGUAUCAAAGCUCUUUAGCUAAGCUUCAUAGAGGUAAAAGGAUUUUGGAACUUAGCAUUUGAUUAUCAUCAUUAUUCUUGAACUUGUAAGCAUUUGAUAUUAGGCAAUUUAGUACUGUCAGUAGUCUCCACAUUGAUGUAGGGGGAAAUUACUUUUUCAUGAUGUUUUUGAUGUUGUUCUAGUAUAGUUAAUCUGCAUUUAGACAAUUAUCUUUAUUUCAAAAUGGUAACUUUUUUCUUGUAGAUAAUGCUGAACUUUAUUGCAAACUCGGUGUGCCGUUUGUAAUGGGCACAACGGGAGGAGACAGGGAGAAGUUGUACAAAACAGUGCAGGAUGCAAAUGUUUAUGCUGUAAUAUCUCCCCAGAUGGGCAAACAGGUAAAACCCAUAUUCCUGAGUUUAGUUAGAGCUUGUUUGGCUUGGCUAGAGCUUCAACAUAAGUGGUGUUUGAGUCAAGUUAUUUAAAGAAGCAUUAACAGGUUUCUCAUUAGAAUAUUGUCAAUAGUUUUCCGCUGCUGCAGGAGCUAAAAUCUUCAAAUUAGAUCUUCUACUUUAAUGCCCAGAAGCCUAGUUCGCUUCAGCUGCUUGGAAUAAGAGAAUUUGCUCUAGAAGCCAAGCCAAACAGGUGCUUAAUGACAUAGUUUUUGGUCCAUUGGUGAGAAAUCCCAAAUAUAAGCAAGUUGUACUUUUUACUAGGUUGUUGCAUUUCUUGCUGCCAUGGAGAUAAUGGCUGAGCAGUUUCCUGGUGCUUUUUCUGGAUAUCAUAUGGAGGUACAAUUCCACUGUAGUUCUUUUUUUUUUUCCUGUGUAUUUCUCCAGUUUCCAAGCUUCUACUGGAAAAUAACUUCAAUCCAAUUAGAGUUUUCUUGAAUUCCAUUCAUGUUUACAGGGACUAACCUUAUAAUUUCCUAUAUUCUUAUCAAAUUAACUACAGUUAAGUAUUUAUAGCAACUCUUCUAUUGAUUAACUACAGUAUUGGUGUAUUUAUAGCAACUCUUUUAGAUUGGAUAACACUUAUCCUAAAUGAUUUACAUGCAUGAAGUUUACAAUUAUUAAGGCACAUCCCUGACCUUGGCGACCAGUCCUCCAACCUCUUUUAGCUAUGAAAUUGUUUACUUUUACUUUCUGUUGGAAAAACUUUCUACGUUUCAUUCCAUGUUAUAAGAAGUUCCUCUUGAGUUGUUUAAGCUAGCUUAGCAGAGUGAUCCAAGUUUUUUCUCAUCAAAUAUGACAGACAACCUAGCAAGUGCAAUGCAUGUCCUGAAAAAUUCUUGAUUAUGAGGGCCUUGCGGUGUACUAAAAUGAAACUUCUAGAUUGCAACAACAAAGGAAAAGCUCACGAGCGCACAAGUUACUGCUGGACAAAUAGUUCUAAAUCCAAACAGGCCUUAGUAAAAGAACUUUUAUCGGGGCUAAGUCUCUUAUUGUGCUUGCCUUUUUUUUUUUCUAGUGGAAGGACUAUUCUUAAGUAAUGAAAUAUAAGUAUCUAAGCAAAAAACCAUAUGAUCAAUCACUAAUACUUUAUUAUCAUCAAAACCAACUAGAGAAACUUGCUGAAACUGUGAUGCUAACACUUUCUGCAUGUUUUUGGCCUUGUAUUACAUUCUGCAGCCCUAUAUCAUUAUUAUAUGAAGGGAUCAAAUUACCAAAUCAUUUAUAUUCGAACUCUGAUGUCUGUAUCAAUGUAAUCAUCUGCAUAUUUGUGACUUCGAAGGCUCACUCUGUCUAUUUAUUAAUCUAUAAUUCCACCCAAUUUAUGAGAGUUGUCUAACAGAAAGAGCUACAUAGAGUCGGUCAUGAUGCUCUAAAGCCGGUUUUGUAAAGCACUUCUCAAUACCUUGCAAAUUUGAAAUUUGAAUUUAGUGAAAUUUACUCCUUGUCUGACUUAUGAUUUUGUGAGUCAUUUACAAAAGAUAGAGGAUAAAAGAUACUUCCAAGAAUGUUCCAGACUGUAGAAGACUAGAAACACUACUCUACCUCGUGUGAUCUGUAAAAUGCUACAUUUCUAUUUACAAUUAGCUCCUUGGCACAGGGAGCGGAAAAGAGUAUGCCUGAUUAUGAUGCUCUUCUCCACAGUUAUGAUAUGUGGUACUCAGAAAUAUAUCAUAUUAUUAUUAUAACCAUUAUUCACAGGUUAAUGCUUCCCAUACUGAAUAUUCAGAAAUUUACAGGUGAUGGAGUCACAUCAAGCAGGCAAAUUGGACACAUCUGGUACAGCUAAAGCUGUCAUUUCUUGCUUUCAGAAAUUGGGUGUCUCAUUUAAUUUAAAGCAGGUAUGGGCUUUUGCGAAACAUAUUUGUACUCGAACAAUAAAAUAUUCCUUUCAUUAUGUUCAAUAUGUUAUCGGUCGCUUGAAAUGUUUGUUUUUAGAAACUUAGUCUUUGCCAUCAGUUUUGUCAGAUCUUAUUUAUUUAUUUGUUGUAUUGUCAACAUUUGGCAAAUACAUGGCUUUUUGUAAGCAAAUAUGUUUGAUGCUGAAUCUCUGCUUCUAUGUUUGCAUUUCUGUUUGAGAGUCACUAGUGAUAGUUUAUGAACUAUCCUAGUAUCUUAAUGCUUCAACCUUCCCUGUUCAUGUCUUUUUCUUUUUUAGGUGAUUUAGCAUACCAUGUGCAACAACACUUUUUCUUUUGAUUGUUCUCACAUUUACAAUGAGGUGCUGUAGUAGAGUCUUAUUUUCCCUUUUCUUUUCAAUUAUGAGGUGAAUAUCAGUGAAAUUGAUAUAACUAAAGCUUCCUAUUUCCAUAUUUAGUUUGAUCGUAGAUAUCUAUAGGCUCUUGACUUAUGUAUUAAUACAUUCUUGUUAUAUCCUUGUUUGCAUUUAGCUUUCAAGCAUUUUGCGCAAACUCGGUACUUGGUUUAUGUUAGUCAGGCUCUGUUUCUUUCUGAAUAGUAUGUGGCUAUCUUCGGUGGUCUUUGUUGUGUCAAUUACUCUUAUUAAUUUGCAGAAUGUGCCUAUAUUUUCCAUCAUGAACUUUAAUACAUCUCAUAGCAUUUAUGAUUUUAGUUUUGAUAGUUUCCUUUUAAUGUGUAUUCUCAAAAACUCACUUUUUUCUUCUUUUUCUUAACGUUACCAGAUAAAAAAGAUUAGAGACCCUAAGAAGCAACUUGACAUGGUGGGUGUCCCUGAGGAGUACCUCUCAGGCCAUGCAUUUCACUUAUAUCAUCUCACUUCGCCUGACGAAACGUAAUAUUUUUUUUUUUUGUCAUCUUAUUAGUCGCUGAGCUAUGUUACGAACGAAUAAUUCCUAUUACCUGCUUAUUAAUGUAAAUUUUUAAUGUUGCUGCCAGUGUUUCAUUUGAGUUCCAGCAUAACGUCUGCGGUCGUUCAAUAUAUGCUGAGGGAACUGUUGAUGCUGCUAUGUUUUUGUAUAAGAAGGUCUCCUGAUACUUCAUUCUUUAAUUUUCUCCUGUAAAUUCUAUUAAUUGCAAUUUAGUCCCCAAUCUUUCACUUAAAUAAUAUUUUCCUGAACUUAACCUAAUAUCAGUUUUGCAUACAAACUAACAGGCCCUAGAAAUUAUCGACAGGAGGAGUUAUUAAAAGAAAAGUGACAAUUAAUACAUUUUACCUUUUUCUUUAUGAGUUCGCUCCCUAUUUUCCGUUGUACAAGGAAGAGCAAUCCGACACUCAUAUUUUUUUGCCAAUGCAGGUUCAGUCUAAGGCCGAUAAGAAAAUAUACAACAUGAUCGAUGUCCUGCGAGAAGGUAACAUGCGAUGAGCCCUGGUUAGUCCAUUUGCUGAUACCGCAACUUCGAUCUGAAACCUUUGUAGAAUUUUGUGAUAUUUAAAUUUUACUUAGAUUUGCGGCAACAUGUGUUAGUGUUUUUCUGGCACUCCUUAUAAUUUUUUUUUUUUUUUUUCGUUUCAAAAAUUUUGUACCUCCCAAACUAUUUUAUCGAAAUCGAGUGGUAGAUUUACCUCUCUAUUGAAAAUAUUGGACUCAGAAUCAACUUUCAAUCCCUUGAUUUCUUCGUUUACGGUGAGGGGUAAAUUGCACUACAACUUCAUCUCAAAAGUUUCAAUUUGGUCUUGGAACUUUUAAAUUUGAUUUUGAAAACCCUGAGGUCCUUUCAAAUUUGAUUUUGAAAACCCCGAAUAUUUUAGCCCCCGUACUUCCAACUAUAUUUAUUUUAGUCCUUACCUUGGAUUGAAACUUGUUUCUUGCGGCCUGUUUGUUCACCAGCCUGUUUGUACACCAUUAAUUUGUUGAAUGUUUCGUCCAUCUCAUAUUUCAAUUCAACGAUUCAAUGUGUAAAUAAAAAAAAUAUAUUUGAAGUCGAUGGAUAAUUGGAUUGAAAUAUAAGAUGGGAAAAAGGGUCAGGAUAUAUGUAUGGGACAUAAAUGUGCAAAUGGGUUGGGUGUGGGCGGUGCUUUGUAAUAACAAAACCCACGGGGAAUAAAUUGGAAUUUUUUAAAAAAGAGUUUAAGGUCUCUAACCUUAGAUUUAAAUCGAAACAAAAUAUUAUUAUCAAAUGUUUUAAGGAUCAAAAUGAAGAUUAACUGAAAUUUGAGAACUAGUGGUGUAAUUUAGCCUAUCAAUUACGCUUUAUUCCGGUGUAUUUUUGGACGAGAAAGAUGGUAGUGGAUAGUUUAUUGCUUACAAUCUUAUUAUCUAAAACAUUUAUUUGGCAGCAAAAAAUUAAAAACUUAAAGCCUCGUGUAGUAUCGUUUUUCGUAUUUUAUUAUUAUAAGUAAAAUUUAGUAUAUCAAAAGGUAUAGAAGUGGGUAGUAAAUUACUUGUUCUUUUCAGCUAAAAUAUUUAUUUAAUAAUAAAAAAUGAAAACUUAGAAAAUAUUUUUUUUUGCUUCCAAAUUUUUUUUAAAUAAGUAGGCGUCUUAUACUUGGACGGAUACAGUAAACUAAUCAACUAUAACAACAACAAAAAAAAAAAAAAAUUUCUCGGCAGAUUAAAUUAUACAGAAUUAGUGUUAAAAAAAAAAGAAGACAAUAAUACCAGAUGAGAUGAGGUUUAAAAAUUACUUUUUUUUUCUACCUUCUAAAGGGGAUACAGUGUAAGUUAACCAGCUAUAAUAACAAAACAAAAUUUUUUCUUUUAAUAACAACACAAAAUUUUUUGUGGCACUAUUUUGGGGGCCUUUAUGAAAAAAGCCGGUAAAAAUAAUUAUUGGUGGCAUUUUUAAAGUACUGCCCUUAAUAAAAUUUAUAUGAGAGCUCGCUUUUUUUUUUUUUCGAAAAUUGUAGGUCAUCUCACAAUUCACAAAAAGCUGCCGGAUUAUUCGCGAGCGGAAUUUUUUGCCAUUAUCUUUUAAUUGGUCGCAGCAAGAGAAAAAAAAAAAAAAAAAAAAAAAAAGCCCUAGCUGCUAUCAUCCAAAGCCCUCUUCGUCCCAUUUGGGAGUACCCUCCCUUUCUCUGCGAUUCCACCUCUCUCCCUCUCCUCCUCCUCCUCCUCCUCCGAUGGUGCCUCGGCUCCCUCUUCUUCUCACGCGCUGCUGUGCUCUAAGUGCUCUUUCCGACAACCCUUGCUGCUCUACCCCUUCGCCGUUGUUGAUCCCCUGCCCAACCACUAGGCUUCGCCUACUGCCGCGCCUACCUCUGCCGCCUCCGCCUCUGCUGCCGACUCCGCCCCCCGGCUUCCGCACCCCCUCUCCUCUUCCUUGUUGCUCCCAACCUCGUCCUCCUCCUCUGGGGCCCACUCUGCAUCCGCCACUACCGCCACCCCCAAAACCCUAAAAACGAAAAAAAAAAAACAAAAAAAGGUAAAAAGUGGAGAAAUGCUCCCUCUACUAUCCCCACUACCACAGUUUCUUCUUUUGCUUUCCACUCAAACUUUUUGCAUGUACUGUAAUUUAUAGCUUCUAACAAGCAAAGAAUAUAAUUAGUAGUGGGAACAAAAAAAUAAUUUGGUCUUUUCCUAUUUUAUUAGGGUUUUUAACUAUACCAUUGGCAUUUGGUCCCUCAUUGCUGGUGAUCUUUGCCUGAGCCAAAGAUAAACCACACAAAGAAAACUAUCAGCCGGCAAGUGAGCAUUCCAUGCUAUGUGAUGCCGAGGUCACCCUCAUUUUCUUCUCCUUUUUUGCAUAGUAUCUCUAUGCUUCUCUAUCUUUUAUUCCUUUUUGAAUGUGAAGGCAUGGUGUAGGGAAUUGGAAAUUUAUCAAGCAAUGCCAUCCUUCAUUAUUCAAAGAGAGAACAGAGGUAUUAAGUCAUUUCUAUUGUCCAAUUAAUUUGUUCUUUAUACAUAGCUUUGACUAAUAAUGGAUGGUGCAUGGGGAUCAAGAUUGGAUGCAAGAACAUAUUGGGAUCUACUAAUUUGACUGUGAAAUCUUUUGAGUCUCAACACAUCGGGAUAAAAAAAAUGUGAUGCUGCCUCGAACUUUUAGAAGAUUGUAAUUUGAUUCUGGAACUUCAAUGCUUCAUAAUUAGGCUGCGAUUGCAUGAUUUAUGGACCUUAGGUUCUUUAUUUCAUAAUUAGGUAUUUCAUAAAUAGGCUGCGAUUGUAUGAUUUAUGAAUCCAAGUCUCUUUAGCAGCGAAAUCUUCAAACUUGAACUGAUUCUCUACCCCCUUUUGCUGCACUACAACAAAAUUAGUAUUUAGUGGCAAUUUAAUUAAUAGCGGCGAUUAUCCAACCGCCACUAUUACUUAUUAUCUAAUUGUACUUUAGCAGCAAUUAUUUUAAAAUAUAUAUCUUUACCAACUAAUAUUUAUAUAUCAAAUAUAUUUACAUUGAACCCCAAUACAACCUUAACCCUAACCCACAACAGAACCUAACCCACACCCCUCUCCUGCAUCGACCUCACAUGAGCACCCCCACCUUCAACCCCUUCUCUCCCUCAACCCCUCCUCUCCGAGCUCGAGCUCCUUCACCUCUACUCAUCCCCUCCUUCCUCAUCCUCUGCGUCCUCUCCAAGCUCCGAUCCUCGACUCGGCGAUCCCCAAAUCUCCCUUGCUAUCUUCCCCGACCUACUCGGCCCCGCGAGGACAAUCCUUGACCCGGCGAUCCGAUCCGAGCCCUCGGCGGUGCCGCUUCUCGAUUCCUCUUCUCGAUUCGGUGCUCCGAUCCAUUGGUAAGAGCUCUCAAUCUCAAAUCACUAGUUUCGUACUCGAAUCCGUAGUUAUCUAUUAUUUAUAGUUUUUACCUCCGAUCAAUCGUGUAUUCCUCAUUAAAUUUGAUAGUUGGUUAGUUGGUUUCAUUUGUUUUGCUUAGAUUUGCCUUUGGAGAUAACGAUUUAGUUUUCAAAUAGCUUGGAUGAAAUUGAAAGUGUCUAUGUUGAGUGCUCAUUUUGUUCGGUCACUGCGAAUUCAUGUUGGAUGUUCUGUUAAUCAUCUUCUAAUUCAUGUUUGAUGUUUUGUUAAUCAUCUUCUCCUUAAUAAAAUUUUGACCUGACCACAAGGAAGUUCACAUCUUGCUAUUUCUUGGCUAAUCAGACCAUUCAUGAUUUUAUUUUUUAUUUUUUUGGGGGUUCAUAUUUGGAAUGUGUGCCUUUUGUUCCUACCUGUAUUUUUCUAAUAGAAGGAUCCUCUUUAUCAUGUUCCUUUUAUGUUGUUUUACAGUUUUGCACCUUAGAAAAUUUUAUCUGUGCAACUAGUUGUUUCAAAUAUAUGGUUCAAUUAAUGAUUUCUACCUUGACUUGUCUUAACUUAAUGCAGAUGCAUCGAUCCUUGUAAGUAGUUCGAGAGCUUUAUUGUCAUGUUCCCCGAGUACAUCAAGCUUGCAUCUAUGAGUUGCUUUUGUGGGUACAAUUUCGUCUGCUUCUCAUUAUAUUUGUUUUUCUUCUCCUUGAGGCAUCACUUGAAUCUGGUAGUAUAAUUUAAUUGAUAUGUGGCAGAGGAGCGGCUCCAGGAAUCGAAGGACAUCCUCGCCAAGUAUCCUGAUCGAGUGCCGGUGAGCUCGUUUGUUCGAUCUUUCGUUCGUUCAUUUGUCCCCCCCCCCCUUUGUUGUUAAUUAAUCAUAUUUGGAGUUGAUUUUGUAGGAAAAUAGUGCCCGUUCUGUUGUAAAACUUAGUUAUUUGUUUGUCUACUAUGUUGGGAUUAAAAAAAAAGUUGAAAAUAUUUUUGCUUAGAUGUUCGGUGUAAAGAAAAUAAACUUAAAAAAUAUCACUACAAUGCCAUGCUUCAUGUAGAAUUAGUGUUAGGGCUGAUUCACUCAUGAGUAAAUGUAAGCUCUUAAUCCUUUUUUUGACUUACAAAACAAGCUACUUCCAAAAUGCUUAUAAAAAAUACUAUAAGAUACAAAACCUGGGUCGAUAUAACAUUAUCAUUUUUUCUGUCUUAAAAUACAAACAAAUAUGCGAAAAUAAAAUCCCGUGGGUUGUAAAGUUAAAUUUCAAUUCCAAAUCAUAUGCAGCUCAACAUAAAGAGUCAUAUAUUUUAGAAACAUUUAACAAAACAUCUACUUUCCACUUGUCAUGAGAACCGGUCUAUGUCAAUAUCAAGUUGUUAUAAAGGAGCAGCACAAAAAAGGACAAGAAUACUAAGAUGACACAUUAUCCAAUCUAAAUUCUCACACUAGCUAGUAGAUAACCUCCUUCUAUAGCACUAAUGCACAUAUGCUACAUCAGAGUAAAAGAUCUUUUCUUUUAAAAGCAAAACAUAAAAGAUCUGUCAAAUUUAUUCAUUGGAAAACAUUAUUGGCUAAUUACAAAUCACCUCACGUUCUGUCAUAUUUUUAUAGUUUUGUGCUGCCGUUAGUUUGUGAAUGGAAGACUGGCUUUUCAGAGGGCUUUUUUUGCAUCAGGGGGAAGGUCGAGUGUUGUUGUUUUGGAACAUUAGUUCAGGUACAAUUUGCGACACGGACCCUUACAAUACUUUUAUUUAAGUCAUGAUUUUUGUUUCCAUUUCUAACAAGAAUGUUUUAUUUGUAUAGAUCUGGGCAUGGGACCACCUGCACAUUGGCCGCCCUGAGGUAGUAGGAGCGCAGCCUGAGCUUGUCGACAUGCCACUAGGGUAUCGGUAAGUAUUUUUUCAUUUUAAGUUUUCUAUAUACUAUUUAUUCAUAACUAAUAUGAUAUAAAUGAAUCAGGUAGAAUACCAGGCUGGCUUUUCGGGACAAUGUUAGGACUACCGACAUUGAGUUUUAUCAUGAUCAGCUGGAUCAGCAGUUAGAGUCUUAGGUAAAUAAAAGUUACUCAAUCUGUCGAAUUUUGUAUUCAAUGCUAAUCUACUUAUUUUAUGGAUUGAAAUUUUGUUUUAGUUUGAAUUCUAGGAGGUCAGUACAGUAGUUUAAGGAACAAACAUAGAGGCAACUAGUCCAAAAACUACAGGAAGAUAUGGUUCUGACGUGAUAUGGAACUAGUUCAAAAACUGCAUCAAGUCAACAAAAUAUGGUUUCAUUAUUAAGUGAUUUGACGUGUAUGCAACUAAUUCAAGUACUUGAGUAAUAAAGAAAUCGAAAUUCAAUUAUCAUUCCAUUUUGAAGCCGAAAGCGUCCUUUUGGCUAUAUCUUCUCGUAGGCUCGGCGGAUUGCCGAACCAACUUCGCCAACGUGUUCGCUUUACCUUCAAUUACGUUUGCACGCGAGCAAUUUCAAGUUAGGGUCUCAAUCCUGCAAAAGUGCAUUAUCGAGCUUAGUGAAUACACUUUACUAGUUUCAACUUCCAACUAGUUUCAACUUCGAACUUCAUAUUAACUAGUUUCAACUUCCAACUGCCGAUUGCCAACUAGCUUCAACUUUCAACUAGUUUCAACUAUUUAUGAUAACAUAGUUUCAACUUUCAACUAGUUUCAAGUUCCAACUGCUUAUUAUAUAUAUAUAUAUAUAUAUAUAUAUAUAACUUUUCUAAGUUUCAUAACAAACAUGGCUUAAUAAUCAAGAAACCCAUGUCAAAUCCCUUUUAGGAUCAAUACCAUGAUCCUUAACAAAAGAACAGUGUAUAAUUACCUUGGAUUUUCUUGCUGUUACAUUUCUUCUCACCUCCACUUCCAUCUUGCUCCAAACCCCUCUAAAUACUUUCUAAACUCAUAGUUAACUAGCCCCACACUUCCAAAUUAACUCGGGGACACCACACAUUAUCCUCAAGCCUCACUUUGAUCUAUUUAAUCAAAGUUAGCGUCGCAAUCCGAAAAUUCCUUUCUCACUUUGUUCGUGCCCAAUUCGCGCCCAGACACUCAUUUAUCUCCGGAUUUUAUUUUCAGACGUCCAAAAUCACUCAGGAAAGAUGCCUAACUAGCUCCAGCUUCACUUCGAUCCUCUAGCUCAAAGUUGACAUCGCAACCUAAGGUUUCCAUAUAUUACAACACCAAUAUAUGUUCUUUUCUUUCAAUACUUUGUCAUAUUUUCAUAAUAAUCAUAUGUAUUUUUCACAAUAGUUCAUUUUUGAUAACACGAGACCAACAUAGUUUAAUUUUGAUAACUAAUCAUAUGUAUUUUUCACAAUAUAUUACAUAGAGGCUUUAUGACCACACAGUGUUAGAGACGCUCCCACCUUUUUGUCUGGCGGGGUUUCAGGUUUGGCAAUCGAGGACUACCUCAGUCUUCUUCCACAUUAUUGAGCUCCAUCAUUCCGAUCGUGUGCUUCGACAGUUUGGACUAUUACAGCAUAUACCUGAAGCAGUGCUUGCUAUACCUCGCAUCAAUUCAUGAGGCAGAGCAGAGGCGGAUUGGGCGGCAUACCAUGCUUCAUACAUUCAGCGUUGGUAUGAUAGAUUUGUAGAUAUAGCAGAGGUGACCUCUGAGACAGAUCCAGAUCCGAUACGACCUACUACUGUUUACAUGCAGUGGUAUUGGAUGACACCAGGAGGUGGAUAUCUACACCUGUACAGCAGCCACCACUCGCGUAUCAGCCACGUGGGCACGUCAAGAGAGUAUUGGUAUGAUUGUAAUAUAUAAUAUCUUUUUAUAUUUAGUUUUAUAUAUAUAAGAAAGUUUCGUAUAAUUUUUUUGAUUGUGCUUUUAUUUCAGGUCGAUAUCGUGCAGAGAUCACAUUAUACGAUCAGACGUGUCCUGCCAGAUAUUUCAGGAGGUAGAGUAUUAGAUGCCAUAUCACAGGUUGCCGAUCAGAUAGAAGCAGUUUUGGAGAGUUUACCCACGCUUCCACACUCUGUACCUUCACGACCAGCAAUACAACUAGGCAGCCUUAGCCCUUUUUUUGGCGCCAAAAAUCAAAUCAAAAUACAUUUCACAACAUCGGCAUAUUUUUGGAGCAAAAAAUAAAAUCAAUACACAUCACAACAUCACAACAUAACAAUACAAUACAGAUAUCUAAACGCAACAGUACAAUACAACAUCACAGCAUCACAACACAACAGUAUAAUAUACACAUCACUACCAACAGAAUCUCAAUAAAUUAUCAAUACCAGAUAAUCACAACAGAAUAUCCAAAAUUAAAGCAAGUUUUACAAUAAUAUAAAAAUAUAAUAUCACAUUCUCCUCCUACCCCCUCGACCACGUUGCCUACCACGUCCGCGACCACGAUCAACACCAUGCUCAUCAAAAGGCUCUAAGAUUUCCAACUGGUCCAGAUGCUCGAUAGCAGCACCCUCAAUAACCGGCUCAAUCACAACAGUAGCAGGUGUCGGUAGUAUGUCUGGCCGUGGAGGAGCUGAAGAGGAGGGCUGAUUUGUACCGAUAGACCUCAUAUGUCGUCGGCGCCUAUAAUAAGCAAUAUCAAUUGCUCGAGGUGGAUCCUGUGGUACUGGUGCUGGUACCGGGUCCAUAACAUCAGUAUAAGGUGGCUCCUCUAUAGGUGAUGAUCGCCUUGGUAGACUAUAUACUAGUGCAUGGCCGGACGUCGAUGCUUCACCAUAGUUUGCUGGUCGUGGAGAUACAGAGUGUGGAAGCGUAGGUUAACUCUUCAACAUUGCUUCCAUCUGAUCGGCAACCUGUGAUAGGGCAUCUAAUACUCUACCUCCUGUAAUAUCUGGCAGGACACGUCUGAUCGUAUAAUGUGAUCUUUGCACGAUAUCGACCUGAAAUAAAAGCACAAUAAAAAAGAUUAUACGAAACUUUCUUGUAUAUAUAAAACUAAAUAUAAAAAGAUAUUAUAUAUUAUAAUCAUAUCAAUACUCUCUCGACGUGCCCACAUGGCUGAUACGCGAGUGGUGGCCGCUGUACAGGUGUAGAUAUCCACCUCCUGGUGAUCGUCCAAUACCACUGCAUGUAAACAGUAGUAGCUCGUAUCGGAUCUGGAUCUAUCCCAGAGGCCACCUCUGCUAUAUCUACCAAUCUAUUAUUCCAACGCUGAAUGUAUGAAGUAUGGUAUGCCGCCCAAUCCUGAUCCGCUCUGCCUCAUGAAUUGAUGCGAGAUAUAGCAAGCACUGCUUCAGGUAUAUGCUGUAAUAGCCCAAACUGUCGAAGCACACGAUCGGAAUGAUGGAGCUCAAUAAUGUGGAAGCAGACUAAGGUAGUCCUCAAUCGCCAAACCUGGGACCCAGCCAGACAAAAAGGUGGGAGCGUCUCUAACACUGUGUCGUCAUAAGGCCUCCAUGUAAUCUAUUAUGAAAAAUACAUAUAAUUAGUUAUCAAAAUUAAACUAUGUUGAUCUCGUGUUAUCAAAAAUGAACUAUUGUGAAAAAUACAUAUGAUUACUAUGAAAAUAUGACGAAGUAUUGAAAGAAAAGCACAUAUAUUGGUGUUGUAAUAUAUAGAAACCUUAGGUUGCGAUGUCAACUUUGAGCUAGAGGAUCGAAGUGAAGCUAGAGCUAGUUGGGCAUCUUCCUCGAGUGAUUUUGGACGUCUGAGAAUAAAAUCCGGAGAUAAAUGAGUGUUUGGGCGCGAAUUGGGCACGAAACAAAGUGAGAAAGGAAUUUUCAGAUUGCGACGCUAACUUUGAUUAAAUAGAUCAAAGUG